rnacentral:lncRNA from 1 species
AAGUUUGAACCUGUUUUUGGUUGGUGGGGCUGCUUCUUAUUUUACUCAGAGGAAACUAACUUGCAGCGAGGGAGUAAAAAUAUUAGUAUUGACACUUUUGGCUUCUAUUUUCAACAUAUGUCGUGUUAAGAAAUUGGUAACAACAAACCUCUCUAGUUUGAAAAGGUUGAAUGCUUCUCACUUGAGGACUUAUGGACAUUUAGUUAGUGAGGCUAUAGUUUUAAGGGAAUUGGAACAAGCAAAUGCUGAUGCCGUAGAUGGGGUUGAGAAUUUGAUUUUGGAGGGGAGUAUAAGGAGGACUCAAUUUUUCCAACGGAUAGAGGACAUUGUUGAUACACAUAGUGCAGAUAUUUUUGUUCCAAAAAGCGACAGAGUUGAAAAAAUAUUGUUUGGUGCGACAAUACUCAGCCACAUUCUUGCAUUAAUCUUUCUUACUCUAGUGUUGCAAUGUGGUAAGUUUUUUAUAUCUAAUGUUUUUCAUAUCAUAUUUUUUUAGUUAAGAUUAUUCUAUUCUAACUCUUAAUUUGUUUUUGUUCAGGUGUUAUUUGAUUGCAGUUUGGAUAGUUUUUUGCUCAAGAGUUUUCAAUUGCAGUUUGUAUAUAGAAGUUUUGAAAGAAAUCCAACAUUUAUCGUCAUCAGCAUCAUAAACUAGAGUAAUUUGAUAUCAUGAUGGUUUAGUUUUAUUUGUAAAAAUUGCUUAAGAGGAUUAUGUUUAUAACCAUGCUAGAUUCUUCAAUGGUGUCACAACUGACUUCACUUGCAAGUAAUUCCUGAGACAAUAUUCUCCCUUUUCUCUUCCCUGACCACUCAUCUUAUAGCCACCAAAAAGAAUUGUAGCAUUAAAUGUAUCCAAGCAAUUAAUCCAUACCAUUCCAACUCUCACGGCUCGUGCCAAGGUGUUUGCAGUGUCAAUGUUUUGUGAAAAUACUCCAGCAGCUAGACCAUACCGAGUGUUGACACCCAAUUUUGACCCGCCACGAUAGAAAUUAACUUUUGAGCUUCUUAAUUUUUAAACAAUUUGAAAUAAUUGGUUUUAUGAAAAAAUCAAAAUGUUUCUCAAGUUUUAAAAUGAUGUUACUUAUUUAUAUAAUAUCUUAAAUAAUUAAGGUGUUUUAUAUAGGUACAUAUAUCCGAUUAGCAUAUUUCGUAAAUAGUUGAAAUCGUCGCAAAAAGAUUUUUACACCUUUUUAGGUUAAGUAUUUUAUUAAUUUAGUUUAGUCUUAAUUAUAGUUAUAAUUUUAAGACGAUUAGUUUAAUUAGAUUAUGAUUAAGUCAAUUAUUUUAUAUCGUUAAGAUUAAAGAAACUCAUUAAUUAAUUUCUAUUAAUUCGUCUUGUUAGUUUUGGCCGAAUUACCAACUAAACUGAUUCGGCUAAAUAUUUAAUUCAAUUUGGCUACAAUUUCAACUCAAUUUGAUUACGAUGGUAAUUCAAUAGUUAUUUCACGAUUUGCAAAGAUAGUCAUUCCUAGCUUAAGUUCCAAUUCCUUGAGACUUGAAAUUGGGCCAGAUUUCCAGCCCAUUUUAGUGCAAUUUUCCAGCCACUUUUCCCACCCUUAAUUCCUAACCCAUCAGCCCACAAAACAAGAAAAACAAAUUCCUAACCCAUUACGUACAACAACAAUACAAUACAAACGGGAAUCCAACGUUCCCAAUUUGUUUUUCUUUCUUCCUUCAAUGCGUCAAACAACAACUAUACACAACAGCUUCCAACGUCAAUAGACGGAAACCACAUAGCAACUUCACACCUUGGGCGCGUGCGGAUUACAAUUCUCGUCUUCUUCCUCACAUCCCUUUCCUUUUUACUGUCGCAGCAGCAAAAGCAAGCCGCGUCUCAGUCCUUAGGGCUGUGGGAUCGAUCCAUAUCGCACCCAAGGACGAGUGCCUCAAUCUCACCAGUCCGUCCCCCUUUCUUCUUUUGGAAUGGGGCGAAUUUUCAGAGAAAAAGUGUCGCCCUAAAAUGGUGCAAGAUUUUGAAAUUUGAUUUAAUGGGCCUUGUUCUCAUCUGGAAAACUCCCGCCUGAUCCCCAUCUUUUCUGCCCUAAUUCCAUUCCAUAUAUACUCUCCCUUUGUUCAUUGUAAAGGGGUGGAAGAGAAAAAAUUGGAAAAUAGUUGAAAAAUUGGGAGUCAAGAAAAAGCAAAAGAUACAUAGAUUUUUUAAAGAAAAUACAGACUUAAGAAAUCAAGUGUUAUAGAGUGUAUUCAGGCGCCGAUCUCUUUUUCCGAGACAUUAUUGCUGCUCGUCGGAGCUCUCGGAGUUUGUGUGUGGUGUUGGAAGAAGCUCGUUGUCUCCUUUGCUUGUUUCUUGUCCCAAAUCGCUGCCUCGAACAAGGUAAACGACUCAUAAUCCUUUGUCUGUUUUGAGGUCAUUGUUUGGUUUGAUGUGUAGCUCUUCGUGAAUUCUUGAGCUUAAGCAAUAUGUUCAGUUUGAUGUUAUUCCUUUCACCUUAUUCCUUGAAAUGAGUGAUAUGUGUCCGUUUUUUUUUAAGAUGAUUGAAUGAUUGUUUGAGCUCAUGUAUUUGUCUGUGCUCUUCUUAAACUCGCGGCUAUUAUGCUCGUCUUAAGUUCGUGUUGCUUCUUCAUUAUUUGUUCUUCUCUAUUUGUGCUCAUGCACAUGUUAUGAUAAGUGUUCUGAGCGUAUCAAAGAUUACCCCAUUGCUUUUUUUUUUCUUUCAUUUUCUGAAGCUUGCCGUAAUUAGUUUUCAUCCAUAUCGGUAUGUAUAUAGAUUCGUGUCAAAGUGUUAGAGUUUUCUUGUGAUAAUAAAUUUCUUUUUCGAUAUAGGACUCACGUUCCGAUUCUUUCAUAUCUCUGCCUAUUUUAUAUGUUUUCCACUAUGAGAUGUUUUCCAUGUUUAGUUAAAAGGUGUAGUCUAUGCUCACUGCUUCGUUAUUUAAGAACCAGACAUUGUUAGCCAGUGAUUUUGUUUAUUUUCUCCUCCUAUUUUUUUUGAAUAUGUUGAGCAUGUCAUAUACUUUAUUCGUUUACUGUAACAAUUCUAGGUCAUUUUCUUUUUUUUAGACUUGGUUUAAAACACUUUAGUACUAAAUCUGCUUUAGAAAAUGACAAAUCGUUAUAUUAAGAUCAUUUAUUGUGAGUAUCUUGUUGUCUCAAGUUGUUGACAUAGGCUUGGCCUUGGGUUGCGUUUUCGAUUCGGUUUAUUAACUUAUAUUGCCAUAGAGGGUAUUGCUUUCAAUUUGGGUCAAGAUUGCUACUUGCUAUCAAGUAUUUGUUUCCUUUAAAUGGUCUUUUUUUCUUUAAUUGAUUGGAAGUCGUUUAACUUAAUUUUUUCGGCAAUUCAUCUAUGUCCAAUUCCUUAGAAAUUUUAUCUUUGAUCAAUUAGUUCAUACUAUGAAAGCAUGACUAUAGGUCAUUGUUAAGUUGUUUUAUUGCUAUACCAUUAGCACGUUUGGUUUUUUCCUUAUUGAUGCUCAUAGUAUAGUCUAUUCUUGUUUUCUUCCCCUUUGAAUGGCCCCCUAAUUUUAUUUGUUCAAGUAAGUAUGUUUAUUACUGUUGGGUGUUGAAAGAGGUCCAAAUUAUUGGAAUUUUGCUUAAUCCAUUUUUAGCAUCUCAUUUAUGCCGCGAAAGGUUUCGGCUAAUUGGUUUUGAGUUAUUCGUUUUAAGCAAGUAUGCAAUAAGGUUGUGAUUAAUUGUCAAGUUGUGUCAUAGUUAUGACAUCAGUGUGUGUUUGAUUUCUUUGUUGACUAAGUUUUAUUUUAAAAUUCCUUUGUUAUAAAUGUGAAUGCUAAUUUGUAUUAUCCUUUGUUUGCAUAUGAAAUCUCCCUGAAUCCUCACGGAUUACAUCUCUUCUCCUCGCAUUUUUCAAUUGGGCCAUUAUGGCCUAAUAUUCAUGUUCCUCGAGUCGGCCAGCAGGAAGUUGAAAAAUACAGGUUUUCGGAGGAUAAACCAAGCUGGACUUUGAAUUUUUCAUCUCCGAAAAGCUCGAAAAGCAGCUGGUAUAUAGUGAUAUACACACCGUAUACGCCGACAAAAAAGUUAAAAAAUACAAAUACAGGUUUUGAAGUGCAAAGACGAGGCCCAAAGGUGGCCAACAAUGAUUUCUAAUUGAAAUGGCCUAAAUUCCAUUGUUUUGGGGGUAAACUUUAGUUUUAAGGCAGGUGGACCAAAGUCCAGACGAAUUCGAAUUUGAGCCAAAAGCCCAAAUUUUAUAUCUCUUCCCUUUUGCUCUUAUUUAUUUGCUUGUUAUGUCGACUAACAUUUAUUUGUGAAUUGAUUUUAACUUAAUUAAAUUCCCGAAGAUAACCAUUUCCUUUCAUAUAUACAUAUAUAUCCAUAUUGAAAUAUUUACAUACUUAGCUUUACUUUUAUGUUUCGUCUUAUUACAUGCUAUUCCCCUUUAGAAAAUUCCCCUCUAGUUCAUUUCCCCUUGGAUAAAUAAAAUGAUAAAAAUAAUAAUAGUAAUAAAUAAGUAGGUUAAAAUAAAUGAGUUUUUACUUAGUUAAAAUUUCCAAAAUAAGUUAAAAUAAAUGAGUUCUUUUAUUUAGUUAAAUCUCAAAAAAAAAAAAAUAGUUAAAAUAAUUGAGUUCUUUUAUUUAGUUAAAAUUUCAAAAAUUAGUUAAAAUAAAUGGGUUCUUUUACUUCGUUAAAAUUUCAAAAUUAGUCAAAGUCGUUAUGAGUUCUUUUACUUAGUUAAAAUUUCAAAAUUAGUCAAAAUCAUUUAUAGUCAAAUCGCCGGUCAACCGCAAGUUAGCGGGCAUUCCGAGGGUCUAACACCUUCUCGGAAUGUAUAUUGAACUUCGAACCCUUUUAUUUUCAAUUGAUUUUAUCUGUUUAAAUCUUUUGAAAACAUUAAGUUUUUUUCUUGAUUUUUAAUAAAAAAUUAAGUGGCGACUCUGUUCUUUUGGAAAUUCGAUUCUUCUUAAAUCAUAAGUUUGAUCGAUUUUUCGAAAACUCAGUCAUUUUUCUUUUAUUUAUAUUUUCUAGUAAAACACCGAGAACUAUUAUCUCUCUGUACCACUUCAUCAAGAUCCUUGUAAUGAACAAGCGCAUACCAUAAAUAAAAGUCGAUAAUAAAGCUCCACGUACUGUCAACAUAUAUAUUUGAUCGUUCUCACAUACUUAAAUUUUAAGAUGGACUGUACUGGACCAAAAAUCUCAUCCUGUGCAAUCAGCAUCAUCCUAACAAUUGAACAUUUUAUUUGUUAUGACAAUUUAUGGACGUUGAUGCUAAAAAUCACGUCUAUUAAAGUGAAAAUGUAUAUACCUUAACAUUAGAUAAGACAGUGGGAUUAAUAUAGUAGCCCUUUUUUGUAACACCCCAGAAACUAGGAAGUUGAACUAGUGAGUUCUAGAGUCUUGUAGUGGAGUUUUGGAGUGUCGUAUGAGGGUUAAAACUCAUAGAAACGAUUCAGGUUCUUAGAAUGACAUGUGUUGACACCCAAUUUUGGAUCUCCACAAUAUAUAUUAAUCACCAAGCUUCUUAAAUUCUAAACGAUUUGAAAUAAUUAGUUUUUAUAAAGUUCAAAAUAUUUUUUUUCAAGUUACUUUUAAUCAAUUUUAUCUUUUUAUAAUUUUUAGAUAAUAUAUAUGUUUUGCAUAAUUAUGUGUAUAAUUAGUAUAUUUUAUGAAUAUUCGAAAAUCGCCUCAAUUUUUUUUUUAGUUUUACUUUAAAUAGUUGGUUAAUUGGUUUAGUUAAUUAAUACUUAUAUUUUUGAGUUAUUAGUUUAUAAUUAAGUUAAUUAUUUUAUUUCGUUAAGAUUAAGAAGCUAACUAAUUAAUCAUAUUAAUUUAUCUUAUUUAAUUAUUAGUUUGGUUACUAAAUUUGAUCAAUGUGGCUAUAAUUGAAAUUCAUAUGGCUAUUGUGUAAUUGCAAUUUCAACCAUUCUUUUACCUCCAUUCAAUCCUUUGUAAAAUAAUUUGGGCCAUUUUGCUAACAUCCCAAAAGUCAGAUUAGCUAACCCCAUUCCCAGCCCACAUUACUACACAACAAUUCUAAAAUAACCCAGGCCCAAGACUAAUACAAUACCAGCAGCCCACCAUUCCAGCAAUACAUAAGUUACAACAACAACGUACAACAAUACCAAAUCGACCCACCCCCUAUACAUUUUCUUCUUCUUCCAGCAAAACAGCGACCAAACCCAGAACCUCAAAUCGCGACCCUAAGCCAUCACAAAAUCAUUACAGUUGGAAUAUUAUCGAGUCAUCCACCUCGUUACAGUUGGAAUAUUAUCGAGCCAUCCACCUCGUUACAAUUGGAAUAUUAUCGAGUCAUCCACCUCAUUACAAUUGGAUUAUUAUUAAGCCAUAUGGCUCGUUGCAGAGAUCAUCAUUGUUUGCCAUGCACAAAGCAAGCAAUGACAUCUCCAAAUCCUUAACAAAUCAUGAGUUGUAAUGCGCAUACGGUUUUCAAGAAAACAUCAUCUGUAUUUUUCAAGGGAGAAUUUUCUCCAUGCAUCGCAAGAAAAUCAACAUCGGCUGCAUUAUUUUCAUUGCAAGAACAACAUCAAGAGAAUCAUCAACAACGAUAUCAAGAGAACUAUCAGUAUAUUACAUCAACCUAUUUUAUUACUUUGACAUCAAAAGAAAAGUACAUGGAAGAUUAUAUUACAAAUAUGAAAUACGAGCUUUAUUUGGUUUACGUCAAACUGGAGGAAGCUGACGUCAAAUAUCCAAGGAGAGCAAUUAGUGACAAUAUGGUAAAAGGCACUAUCUCUUAUUUGAAUUACAUUUUUAUGCAAAUGAGUUUUAUCUCAGUAUUUAUCGAAAGCAUCCGCAAGGAUAAAUUCUCAAAACAAACCACAGGUGCGGACAAUAUCAAAAAGGAUGCAACACAACGUGUAACUUUUUCUUAGCAGCGAAUUGGGACAUAGUCCAAAGAGGAGUAUCAAACUCGUAGGACGCGAGCUGAGGAACGACUUCCACCACAAUCAAACCACACCACCAUCAAAAGGCAUGUGGGCAUUUCCUUGGGUUUAUCAGUUUCAAUUUCGCAUCCGAAAAACUUUCCACUCUCACCGGAGGCAGCUUUCCAAUCUGAGUGACAAUGUACCAAGAGCUUUGGAAAUUAUGUCCAUGUAAGUUCUUAAUUAUGGGUGUGAAGUGCGCCACAUUCAUGGCUAAGAGGUUGUAAGCCUCUUUUUCAUACUUGACUUACUUGUCACUCUUCCAAAAGUGAAGGUUAUCUAGCAUAAUAGAUUUCAUUUUCAACCGAUCGAGUCGAUCUACAAAUAGCCUGAUUCCUAAGGUUUAAGGAUAUGUAUGUUGACACCUAAUUUUGACUCUCACCGAUAAGAUUAAUUUUCAAGCUUCUUAAUUUUCAAUGAUUUGGAAUAAUUAGUUUUACAAAACUCAAAAAAAUAAAUAAAUUAUUUUCUAAGUUUUAAAGCAAUUUUAGUCAUUUUUAUAAUUUUAAAACAAUAUAAUAUUUUUAUAUAAAUUUUGUAUGUAAUUGUUACAUUUCUUACGAGCAUUCAAAAAUCAUUUAAAAAUAAAAUAAAAUUUACUUUUUAAAAAUGUUUUGAUAAUUAGCUCACUUAAUAUUAGUUUACAUUCCCGAAUCAGUUAUUUUUAUCUCGUUAAGAUUGAGAAGCUCAUAAAUCAAUUGUAUUAAUUCAUCUUAUUUGACUACUAGCCGAGUCUAUCCUAAUUAACUAAGGCGGUUAUAUUUAAAAUUUUCAAUUUGCUAUGAUUUAGACUCAUAUGGCCGAACUUUAAAUCCAACUCUAUCAUAUUCAAUUUAAAAGACCAAAUAUUGGACCCCUUUUUAUAUUCCCAUUUAAUCCCAACCCAAGUUCCCCUUUAUUCCCAGCAGCCCACCAAAUAAAAUCCAACCCAACUCUUUUCUCUUUUGUUUUCAGAUCACCCAGCCCACUCCAACUCCUUAACCCGACUUGACCCGACCCAUUUCCCCUAUUCCCAUUCACAAAAAAUAUCCAGAGAGUUGUACACGUUAACAGCAACAAGAACAACUUCAAAUGCUCACAUGGACCGAUAGAGUCAUUAAGGCUCGAUAGUAGCAGCGAAGCACGCGUCUACCCUCCUUUCCUCUUCCGGAAAGAGUCAAAAUUACAGGAAAAAGGGUGUUUACCCUUAAAAUGGUAGAAAUAAUUUUUGAGUUUGAAAUUCAAGUUGGCCUUAAUUCCAUCCGGAUUCCCCUCAAAAUCUACCAUAAUUUCCUCUAAAUAACAUCUUUUCCAUUCAUUUGUAAGGGGGUCGUCGAAUUUUUUCCUAGAACAAAAAAAAAAACAACCUAAACAGCUAGAGCAAAAAUAGUCGAAAUACACACUAAAUAAAUUAAGAGAGUAGAGAAGAUAUUCGGUCCUAAUCUAAAGUUCUCUAUUCUAAUUCGUUGCCAGUGCUUUCGCAAAGCUCAGUUGAGGUUGAGUUUUCGCUUGAGUCCACUGUGUUUUCCUUGUUCGUGCCGCGCAUUUGCGUGAAAGACGCUGCUCCCUACUCGUUCCCGUCUCUGUUUCGCUGCCUCGAAAAAGGUAUACGGCUUGCCUCUUCUCACAGUCUAUGUCCUAAUUUGGAUUUGUAUUUGUUUGUUUAGUUAGUUACGUUGUUCUGGGUUUGACCAUUUUGAUGUGAAGUGUUGCUUCAUGUUCAUGCAGUAUUAAUUACAUUUAGCUGUUCUCAUGAUGAAAUUAGGCAGAAUCGAUGUCGAUUUUUUAGUCAUAAAAUUUUGUCUACAUAAUCUUGAAUAUUGCACCCUCAUCGCUUACUCAGUUCACUCUUUCGUUGUUUAUCAUGCUUGUCACCCGCUUGGAUGCUCAUUAUUACAAUUGGUUCCUAUUGUUGUAAACAUAAUUUCAUGUUUAUACCACUGAUUCACAGAAAUAUUAGAAGUACUCCUCAAGCAUGCGAUUAGCUCAAAUCCUCUGUGUCUUAUCACCUAUAUGUCUUAUUAGCAUUUUCUUUUGUCCUAAUGCUCAUAUUUGCAAGUCAAGUCGGUAUAAAAUCCGAGCUUUCUUGUUUUAUUUUCUGUUUUAGUUUUAUUGGAGUUAUAGUGUUCAAGGUCAUUUGAAGUGUGAUUUUGUUGGUGUUGACUUCUCGUUGUAUGUCUUGCCGAAUACUCGGCCCCCCUAUGUAUUCCCUUGGUUUUGAUGUAUCGUGUUUAUAGCUUCCGUUUUGAAGCAAAUAAGGUCCAUUUAUGUUUGAUGGCUUUCUAGUAAUGUGUAAAACCGAGAUCCCGUAAACCAUUGUGUGAAGUUGUGUUGUUGUUAAGUUUAUUUAUUUCUUCUAGUCGGAUGUAGAUUCUUGUCUAAUCUAUUUCUUGCCUCACUGUAGGUUAUUAAGUAUUCAAUUAAUAAUAGCAAAUAGCUCAUAUGGGUUUGAAUAUUCCGUACAUUUUAUUAUAUUUCAAACAUGCUAUAUUAUGGGAUGUUAUUUGAUAUACCUUGCUAAUAUUUGUCUAAAUAUUUCCUUUAGAAUGAUUAGAUGUGAGGUGUCUUUCUAGUAUGAUAGAUAGGGGUACUACUUUAUUGUUUAAUUUUAAAAAAAAUGUGGUUUCCUCUUGCCAAAUGUGUGCUUUCCUUUCAUUUUUGAAUCUUGUGUUUAUUUGAAAAUUUGUCAAAGUUCAUUGGGAGUGGCUUUUUCUUUCGUUUUGAGUUGUCUAGUUUGCUUUGCUAUGAAUUAAAAUCAUAUUUCUUAUUUCCUUAUCUCAUAUGCUAAUGUUGUCUUUUCUUUCGUAUGUUGGAUUGUCUCCGAGUCCUCUUGGACCCCAACCUUUUCCCCCAUAUUUCGGAUAGGCCAUAAAGGCCCAAUUACAUUUUUUUCGAUCGAGUCAACCCCCAUUUCCGAGUGAGAGAAAUUGAUGAACAGGUGGAAAGCAAUAUAGGUGGCUGGAAAUUUAAUUUGCAGGCCUCAAAAGCCCAAAAGAGGGCAGUAUACACGAUGUAUACACAAGUAUACAUAGAAAGAACAGCGCCUUUAUACACUGAUAUACGAGUCCAGUUCAACAAAUACGGUUAUAAAAAAAGAAAUACAGGUUGCAGGGGACAAAAUAUAUUGUAUACAUUUGGUAUAUGGUUCAAGAUACAGGAAACGGGGUUGAUAUACAAGUCGUAUGCACUGAUAUACGGCUUUCGUAUACAAAAACGUGAAUUGGUUAAAAGUCCUAAGAAUCAGCAGCUUUGGCCCAAUGCUUCUGGGCAGUAAUAGGCCCAAAUUCAAUUAUUUCCUUUCCCUUUCCUAUUUAUUUGAUAUCGUAUUUGACUAACGCUUUGAUUAUCUUAUGGUUUAAUUAAAUUAAAUUCCUCAAGAUAGCCAUUUCAUUUAUAUGUAUAUGUAAAUUAAAGCUAUUUUUGUUUUAUACUUAGCUUUAAUUUUAUUUGUCUUGUUACUUAAGUUAUUUCCCCUUUUGAAAAUUCCCAUUUAGUUCAUACCCCCUUAAAAUAAAUAAAGUGAUAAAAAUAAUAAUAGUAAUAAAUAAGUAGGUUAAAAUAAAUGAGUUUUUACUUAGUUAAAAUUUCCAAAAUUAGUUAAAAUAGAGUUCUUUUAUUUAGUUAAAAUUUCAAAAUUAGUUAAAAUAAAUGAGUUUUUACUUAGUUAAAAUUUCCAAAAUUAGUUAAAAUAGAGUUCUUUUAUUUAGUUAAAAUUUCAAAAUUAGUUAAAAUAAAUGAGUUUUUACUUAGUUAAAAUUUCCAAAAUUAGUUAAAAUAGAGUUCUUUUAUUUAGUUAAAAUUUCAAAAUUAGUUAAAAUAAAUGAGUUUUUACUUAGUUAAAAUUUCCAAAAUUAGUUAAAAUAAACGAGUUCUUUUAUUUAGUUGAAAUUUCAAAUAUUAGUUAAAAUAAAUGAGUUAUUUUACCUAGUUAAAAUUUGAAAAUUAGUCAAAGUCGAUAUGAGUUUUUUUACUUAGUUAAAAUUUCAAAAUUAGUCAAAAUCAUUUUGGUCAAAUCGCCGGUCAACCGCGAGUUAGUGGGCAUUCCGAGGGCCUAACACCAUCUCGGAAUGUACAUUGAACUUUGAACCCUUUUAUUUUCAAUGGAUUUUAUCUGUUUAAAUCUUUUGAAAACCUUUAGUUUUUUCUUGAUUUUUCACUAAAAAUUAAGUGGCGACUCUGUUCUUUUGGAAAUUCAAUUUUUCUUAAACUAUAAGUUUAAUCGAUUUUUCUAAAACUCAGCCAUUUUCUUUGAAUAUACCUUUUUUAAGUAAAACAAGAAUGACGACUCCGCUGGGGAUUUAGUUAAGUUCUAACCAUAAGAUUUGACUUAUUUGACUAAUUGUAUUAAUUGCUAAAUUGUUUAUCUGCUCUCAACGUGUUUAAUUUGUUAUAACUGUCAUUGCAAUUCAUGGUAUAUUCCAUCGUAUGUAUAGUAUAUUAAGGACGAUUUCUGCAUCAUCGCAGCCGAACUUCUUAUACUAAACCCUUUUUCGGAAGGAUCGGCGAUUUAUUGAUAUGUCAUGCGUCCAAUGGUUGUCGUGAAUUCUAGCCUAAGUUGUUCACUUCGGUUCCCGAUCUUUCAAAGCCACUCUUAGUCAACUAGCGUAGAGCGAAACCAAAUCCCUGAUUUAGCAAAUUUUGAACUAAGUCGACCCAACACUCAAGGCGUGUUGGGCUCAUUAGAAGUCCAUCUUGUGUCUAUUUGGCCCAUUUGCCAAUAAAAAGACAAUCAUACUUAUGUGUUUUAAUUGAAGGUUGUAUAUGUCAUUUUUAAACAAAUCAAUUAUCAAGUGGGGGUGGGGGUUAACUUACAUUUGUUUGUUUUUCUUGUAGAAUGAAUCCGACGUUUGAGCCGUUGAAAAGCCGAAUGGUGACUAUACCUGAUCCUUACCUCCAAGUUUGGUUGAAAUUCAUGAACAAGGAAGAUAAGAAGAAAAUUCAAAGACACAUAGGCCAUCUCCCGUCAUUAAUGGAAAUGGUGGCUUACCCCAACUUGAUUGGAACGAUGGUGAAAUUUUGGGACAGCAACAACAUGGUAUUUCGGUUUGGGGAAGUAGAGUUGACCCCGAUAAUAGAUGAAGUUCUUGCAAGUUACGAGAGUAUCGGCAUGUGCAACAAGAGGAAACACCAACCCGAUUUUGAUCUUCUCUUUCCAAAAGUAUGGGAUUUUACCGAAAUCAAAGAAAAUAUGUCACUCGUCAAAGCUGAAAGGAUGGACAGGCUUCCCGGGCCAAAUAUUCCACUUCGAAAGUUGUAUUAUCGAUUUGGACGUGCAAGAGCUUACGAGAAGUUCAAAGAAGAGUUUGUUUCGGAAGAAAGAUGGAAGGAAACACGCCCCUUCGCUUUUGCGAUAUGUCUACUUGGGACAAUGGUAUUUCCCCAAAGACCAAACUACACCAUCCAUCCAAGUGUAGUAAUGGUUACUCAUGCUAUUUUUAGUGGAGUAGGCUAUGGGCCUGUAAGAAAGUACUACAAUUUGGUUCCUAUGAUCCUUGCUGACAUUUACAGGGCGUUGGAUAUGUGUAAAAAUGGCACAUGUUUCUUUCAAAGGUGCAACCUGAUACUUCAAUGGUGGAUGAUGAGACACUUGAUCAAAGCUCAUGAUCCAACAGAACCAGAUCCCUUGGAAAGACCAAACAGGCUCGAAAGUCACGAUUGGUGGGUGCAACGUAAUCAUUUCAAUAGGACGGGAGGCAAAGAAUUUUGGUACCCGAGACUUCAGGGUUUGAGAGAGGAAAAUGUGCAGUGGUCGAUCCAAUGCUUAGUAGUAACUAAACAAAUUGUGAUCCGAAGCGAAAAGGCCCACUACUUGAUAUUUGCUGGGUUGAGAGGAACUCGGCCAUAUGCUCUUUCUCGAGUACUUAGACAGCUAGGAGGGAAACAAGAGCUUCCUCAGAUAGAAGACAUGACAAGAUUUGUGACGGAUCAUGAAAAUGGCGAAGUCGCUUUUACUAAAAAGAUGCUUCAAUUAUGGAAGACUCGAAGGAUAUUGGGUGAGCCGGUGCCAAAUAGGAUUCGUUCGAAAUGUUCUAAGGAUUACAAAGAAUGGUUAAAGAAGAGUCUCGCCGGAAUUAUCGAACCCGGUCUAAACGUUCCCCAUAUUAUUGCAGAUAUUGGAGCCAAGCAUCAAAUCCGACUUCAUCAACUCCAAGAGAAGUUUGAUAGGAAUGAGUUAGAGCAUCAACGUCGACACUCAGAAGACGCCAAAGUCAUAGCUCAGUUGAAGCAAGAGCUACAAAAAUCCAAGCAAUGUAUGUCAUAAUUAUAUGAUAGCAUGGAGUAGCAGAUUCAGUCGGUCGAGAGGUUCAGACAUCAAGAAGGGGCUCGGUUGGCAAGGGAUCACCUAUGGGCGAACAAAUAUGCUAUGUGGGAAGAGGUCAGCAUAGCCAAGAGGAGCAGACUUGGGGAAAGAUCAGGAUGAGCUUGGAGUUUGUAAUCAUCCCCUGCGUGGGAUUGCUUUAUUUGUACUUUGUCUUGUAAUUUAUUUUCCGAACUCUUUUCCCCGAUUUUUAUGUUUGUCAAACUAUUUUUUGAAUUGCUAUUAAUGAAAUAUUUUGGGGAUAAUGAAUUGGCUUAAAAAGACAUAUAUAUCCUUCAAUUCGCUAAGCCUACCCUUGGCACAAAAGGGUCACAUACAUGUUUAGGACGCGAUAUUUGUCUGUUUACUUGUGUGCUUUAACUGUUUAUGUGACAAGUUGCUUUGAAUGAGGGCAUUUUUAGCCCACUCCUUGUCAAAAUUUUCUGAAAAUGCCAAAUACAAGUCACUACCAAAAUGUCCGACCAAACUUCCACGAGUCUUGAGUUUCUCAGCCACAAAUAAAAUCUUACUACCAAAUCAUUAAAUGUUACUCUAUCAUCUCAGGAAAGGUGAAAUUGCUGCUAAGAUGGAAAAGGGCAAGAAUGUCGAAGUGAAAACGACUGAGGAGAGUCUAAGGAUGAAACUGCGUCGACUCAAACAAGAGAUUCGAGAGAUGGGAGAAAGAAGAAUAGAAGUAGAAUUAUCCACCGCAGUUGCGCAAGCCAAAAGCGCAGCACUGGACACAGAGUUAGCGGCUAAGAUGGCAAGAUAUGCUGUGAUGAACGAGGAGACAGUUGCUAUGCGGAAGGAACAUGCUGCCUUCAACAAUGAUAUAACCAUGAGACUUCAAAAACUACAUGGAAAAUACCAUUUCUUCAACCAAGAGGCCACCAACAGUGAUCCUAAAGGCACUGGACCUGAAUCUGUUGAAGAGGAACUUGAGGAGGAAAUUGUCUAUAGACCUCCUUUCAAGGGACGGUGGAAAGAAGAGAAUGAGGAAACAGCCCCCGAAGCAUAUGAGUUUACCCCCCGUGGCUAAAGUGAAUGAGGAAACCGCCCCCGAAGCAUAUGAGUUUACCCCCCGUGGCUAAUACGACAGUCAGAAGAAGAGGUUUUGAUGAAGGCACUAUCUAUCUUUUAGGAGCUUUAUUGCAUGUUUUCCUUUCACUUUCCUUGUAAUCAAUCAAAUGAAUGGACGAAAAUGAAAAUUUCCUUUUUAUUCGAACUACGUAGGCAGCCUUUCAAGGCUCGGCCCCUAUCCUUUUCAAAUUUUCUUUUCCCCCUCUUUCAUUCUACAAGGAAACAUUGAGUUCGGAUCCAACAGAUGCCGAAGAUGCAACAAGAAGACCUUAGCUCAACGCAAUUUAACCUUUCUGAGUNNNNNNNNNNNNNNNNNNNNNNNNNNNNNNNNNNNNNNNNNNNNNNNNNNNNNNNNNNNNNNNNNNNNNNNNNNNNNNNNNNNNNNNNNNNNNNNNNNNNNNNNNNNNNNNNNNNNNNNNNNNNNNNNNNNNNNNNNNNNNNNNNNNNNNNNNNNNNNNNNNNNNNNNNNNNNNNNNNNNNNNNNNNNNNNNNNNNNNNNNNNNNNNNNNNNNNNNNNNNNNNNNNNNNNNNNNNNNNNNNNNNNNNNNNNNNNNNNNNNNNNNNNNNNNNNNNNNNNNNNNNNNNNNNNNNNNNNNNNNNNNNNNNNNNNNNNNNNNNNNNNNNNNNNNNNNNNNNNNNNNNNNNNNNNNNNNNNNNNNNNNNNNNNNNNNNNNNNNNNNNNNNNNNNNNNNNNNNNNNNNNNNNNNNNNNNNNNNNNNNNNNNNNNNNNNNNNNNNNNNNNNNNNNNNNNNNNNNNNNNNNNNNNNNNNNNNNNNNNNNNNNNNNNNNNNNNNNNNNNNNNNNNNNNNNNGCAAACCACCAAACUGGCCUGCCCCCUCAAAGCCAAAAUGUUAACCACUAGCACAUUUCCUUCCAUCACCAAAAUCAACAUACCAACCCUCAGACUUUCCCUCAAAAUUACCAAGUCACUCAAAAUGCCCAAAGUCCCUCUAUUGCUCCACCACUACCACAAAAGGCCACUUUCCAAAUACCAGUCCCCAACGAGCAUGACCCCCAUGGUUCGGAGCUUGACCACUAUGAGGAGAGAGAGAGAGUGGAGGUCAAAAGAAGAGACCGCCAAGAUAGAUAUGAAGGAGGAAAUUAGAAAAGCCAUGAACGAAUUGAACUGCAUUCCUGAGGUCGCCGGGUUGAGUUACGAAGACCUGUGCAUUCAUCCAAAUUUUGGACCUCCCGAAAGGGUUCAAGGUACCAAAAUUUGACAUCUUCGGAGGGACGGGGAACCCCUUAGCACAUUUGAGGGCCUACUGUGACCAACUCGUGGGAGUUGGGAGAGACGAAGCUUUGUUAAUGCGGCUUUUUAGUCGAAGUCUGAGCGGAGAGGCUCUAGAAUGGUUUACGUCUCAUGAAACGAGACAGUGGUCUAGCUGGAACGCUCUGGCUAAGGACUUGAUCGAACGAUUCACCUACAAUGUGGAGAUCGUUCCUAAUCGUUACUCCUUGGAGAAGAUGAAGCAUAAGUCGAUCGAAAGUUAUAGAGAAUUCGCAUAUAUGUGGCGAAAGGAGGCAGCUAGAGUUAGACCUCCUAUGUCAGAAAAGGAAAUUGUCGAGGUGUUUGUGCGGGUGCAAGAGCCCGAGUAUUAUGACAGAAUCAUGUUGCUCGUUGGAGCAAAAUUUGCUGAGAUAGUCAAAGUAGGUGAGACUAUCGAAGAUGGAUUGAGAACUGGGAAGAUUGCCCGUGUUGCUGCCUCGCCCGGAUCCUCAGGCUUGUUGAAGAAGAAAAGAGAUGAUGUGUCAUCUAUCUCUUAUGAGGGGAAGAAGACCCCAAGGAAAUCAUCAUCAUAACAAGGUCGUUCUCGACCUUCACAGAGUUCGUACCCGGCUUGUUAUGCCCAGGCUGAUUACCAAAAUACCCCUCCCCCCAGUAAUCAAAAUACCCCUCAUCCCAGUUAUCAAAAUACUCCCCCUCCUAGCUACCAAACUCCCCCUCCAGUUAUCAAACUCCAUCUCAUUACUACCAAAAUGCCGCCUCCAACUGUGCCAACAUUCAGACAAAUUACCAAACGCCUCCCCCAAUGUACCAAACCCCAGCUCCACUUUACCAAAAAUAUCCCCUCGAACUACCAAGCUCCACAACCAAACUACCAAACCAACUCAUAUCCCAGAUAUCAAGCCCCCCGUCUGAAUGCUCCAAAUUAUUGCCAAAUGCCUCCCCCUCAACAAGGAAAUUACGAUCCCUCCCGUCCCAGAUUUGAAAAAAAGCCUGCCAGAAUUUUCACUCCACUUAUUGAAAGCCGAACAAAGCUGUUCGAGCGAUUAACUGCGGCAGAAUAUAUUCAUCUAGUAGGGCCCAAAACGGUUGACACUAGCUCAAAGUUUUACAGACCUGAUCAGAGGUGCACGUAUCACUCCAACAGUGUUGGACAUGAUACUGAGGACUGUAUCAACCUGAAGCAUAAGAUCCAAGAGUUAAUUGACCAAAAUGUGGUCUCUAUUCAGACGGUCGCGCCCAAUGUCAAUAGUAAUCCUUUGCCAAAUCAUGGAGGCGCCACUAUCAAUAUGAUAGAGACAGAUGAUGACUGGUGCAUGACGAAGGCAAUAGUUCUGAUUUCCCCUGAUGAACUGGAAAGGGCUGUAGCUUCGUUGAGCAUCAGAGAAAAGAAAGAGUUUGUGAUUCUGACACCCGAGAAGGUUGUUGCCUUGGUGCCACGAGAAAACUCUUACCCCAACCAAAAGUUUGUGAUUGAAAACGGCUGUUACCCAGGGUAUGACCAUAUCCGGCAGGUGCUACACACCGGAAGAGUUAGCUCAAUGAGGGCAGAAGAAAGACCAAACAAAAAGGCCGAUCAGUAAAGCCAAGGCCGAGGAGUUAUGGAGAAAAAUGUAGCUGAAAGAUUAUUUUAUUGUGAAGCAUUUGGAGAAAACGCCGGCUCAGAUCUCUGUGUGGGCCUUGUUAAUGAGUUCGCAGUUACAUAGGCAGGCUCUGAUGAGAGCUUUGGAUGAUACUUAUGUGCCUGUGGGUACUAACAGUGACAAUUUAGCACGUCAUCCAAGGAAGAGUUGCCCUUUGAAGGGAGGAUGCACAACAAAGCUCUGCACAUCACCAUCAAAUGCCGGGACAAAGUUAUAAAUCGUGUUUUGGUCGACGAUAGGUCCGGUCUCAACAUUUGCUCGCUUUCGACUCUCAAGCAGCUGAAAUUCGACUUGGGAAAGGUUCAACGAAACCAGGUCAAUGUAAGAGCUUUCGAUGGAGUGCAGAGAGACACUAUAGGGGCAGUAAAUUUGGAUAUUCAGAUGGGGCCUGCAGAAUUUAAUGUGGAGUUUCAGGUGUUGGACAUCAAUACCAGCUACAAUUUGCUUCUAGGAAGACCGUUUAUCCACAUGGCUGGGGUUGUGCCUUCCACCCUUCACCAAUUGAUGAAAUUUGUUUGGAAGGAUCAGGAAUUCAUGGUGAGGGGAGUCCCUUUGAUGGGUAUGCGUCGAUUGUUCACAAGGUUUCCCGAGGUUGUGAUUUCUACACGGUGGAGCUGUUAAAUACCACCGGUGAUGAUUUGGCUCCGCAACCUCUUAUGCCCUCCGUGUACAAGAUGAAUGCUACUGUCAUGCUCAAGAGUGGUUUCGAACCAGGUCUCAGAUUGGGGAAGCACUUUCAAGGAAUUGUUGAGCCUGUCCAAAUUCUGGCCAAAGGAGCAAAGUUCGGUUUGGGGUAUGUCCCCACAGAUGCUGACGAAGCAGAGAUGAAGAACAAGAGUGUUGAUCAAGCAUUGGCUAGGCCAAUUCCUCAUCUGUACCAGUCAUUCCCGGUGCGGGAGCACGCCAACGAUGGUGGUCUCGGAGAAGGAAUCUGGGGCCUUUUUUAGGAGAUUGAUGCGGUUAUUGAGGAAGAGGCUGGGACAUCAGGCAUCCGUGAUGCAGAACCUGAUGAACAAUUGCAGAACUGGACCUCCACACCACUCUUGAUUUCCUGCUCAUCUGAGUAGAAAGGACGAGCAUUUUGUUUGUUUUAAAAUCGGUGGCAGUCCGGAAGAGGCCCGACACCCACCCUUUAUGCAAUUGUUAUUUGUUUGAAACUUUUAAAUUCAUUUGUGAUGUUUAAAAAGGCAAAAUGGCCCUCGGCCAUGGUCAAAGUUUGCGCUUGUCUUUCAAUUUAAAUGAAAAACCUCUUUUAUCGAAAUGUGUUUGUUUACUUAUCUGUUUAUAUUUUACUGUCCUAACUUUGUUUGUUUAUGAUUUCAGUAAUAUUAAUUUAAAACCUGCCAAUGUCAUGUCAUGUCAUGAACCGAGUGAACAAAAUGAGACAUGUGAUGAUGAGUGUGGGGAAUAUGAAGAAGAAAAUGAGGUACCCGAACAUGUUGCUGAGGAGUUUCGACAAUUCGAGAAUCAACACAAACCAAAUUUGGAAGAAACCGAAACUGUGAAUCUCGGAGAUAAAGAAUGUGUUAAAGAAGUCAGAAUCAGCGUCCAUCUGACUGAAGCUCAAAGAAAGGACUUGGUUCGUUUGCUCAGGGAGUACAUUGAUGUAUUUGCCUGGUCUUAUAAAGACAUGCCAGGACUGAGUACAAAUAUGGUGUCCCACAAGUUAAGUUGUCGAUCAAUCCAGAUUUCAGUCCAGUAAAACAAAAGACUCAAAAAUUCAAGCUUUAGUUGAGUUUGAAGAUCAAAGAGGAAAUUACAAAACAAAUCGAGUCUCAAAUAGUGGAAGUGACGUAAUAUCCGACUUGGUUAGCCAAUGUUGUUCCGGUUGCGAAGAAAGACGGAAAAAUUAGAAUUUGUGUUGACUACAGAGAUCUCAACAAAGCUAGCCCGAAAGAUAAUUUUCCAUUGCCAAACAUUCACAUCCUCAUUUAUAACUGCGCUAAGCAUGAAAUACAGUCAGUUGUGGAUUGUUAUGCGGGUUACCACCAGAUCCUGAUGGACGAAGAAGAUGCAGAAAAGAUAGUUUUUAACACGCCUUGGGGUGUAUAUCAUUAUCGGGUGAUGCCUUUUGGUCUCAAGAAUGCCGAUGCUACUUACAUGAGGGCCAUGACGACCAUCUUUCACGAUAUGAUUCAUAAGGAGAUCGAGGUGUAUGUAGAUGAUGUCAUAAUCAAGUCCCGCGAGAGUUCGGAUCACUUGACUCACUUGAGGAAGUUCUUUGAUCGCUUGCGCCGAUACAAUUUGAAGUUAAAUCCCGCCAAGUGUGCUUUUGGAGUGCGAGCUGGCAAGUUGUUGGGAUUUAUAGCCAGCAGGAGGGUCAUUGAGCUUGACCUUUCCAAAAUCAAGGCGAUCCAAGAAUUACCUUCUCCAAAGACCAAGAAAGAGGUGAUGAGUUUUCUGGGAAGGUUGAACUACAUUAGUCGGUUCAUAGCUCAAUCCACCGUGGUGUGUGAGCCCAUCUUUAAGUUAUUGAAAAAGAUGCCUCAACCAAGUGAACCGGAGAAUGUCAAACUGCUUUUGAUGCCAUCAAAAACUAUUUAUCCAAUCCACCGGUGUUGGUCCCUCCGCGAGAAGGGAGUUCGUUAUUGCUAUAUUUGUCGGUCUUGGAUAAUGCAUUGGGAUGCGUGCUUGGUCAACAUGAUGAAACAGGGAAGAAGGAGCGAGCCAUUUAUUACUUGAGCAAAAAGUUCGCUCCAUAUGAGGCUCGUUACACUCUUUUGGAGAGAACAUGUUGUGCUUUAACUUGGAUCGCUCAGAAGUUGAGACAUCAUUUGUCUUCUUAUACCACGUACCUUAUUUCCAGGAUGGACCCGUUGAAGUAUAUUUUCCAGAAAGCAAUGCCGACAGGGAAGUUGGCUAAAUGGCAAAUGCUUUUGAGUGAGUUUGACAUUGUGUAUGUGACUCAAAAGGCGAUAAAAGCACAAGCCUUGGCUGAUCAUCUUGCAGAGAAUCCGGUUGAUGAAGAGUAUGAACCGCUCCAGACUUAUUUUCCCGAUGAGGAAGUUUCGUUUGUUGGUGAAAAUAUUUCUGAAGCAUACCCUGGUUGGAGAGUAUUCUUUAAUGGAGCGACGAAUCACCAAGGGAAAGGUAUCGGAGCGGUCUUAGUAUCAGAAUCCGGUCAGCAUUAUCCUAUGGAGGCUAAACUCCGAUUUAAUUGCACGAACAACAUGGCUGAGUAUGAAGCUUGCAUCCUCGGUCUGAAGAUGGCAAUUGAUAUGAACGUUCAUGAGCUGUUGGUUAUUGGAGAUUCAGAUUUGCUAAUUCAUCAAGUUCAAGGAGAAUGGGCCGUGAAGAACCCAAAAAUCAUACCGUAUGUUCAGUAUAUACAGAAGUUGUGCAAGAGAUUUCGCAAGAUUGAAUUCAGGCACACUCCCAGGACACAGAAUGAGUUGGCCGAUGCUCUUGCAGACACAAAAUGAAUUGGCUGAUGCUCUUGCCACAAUCGCCUCAAUGAUUAAACAUCCAGAUACAAGUUAUAUUGAUCUAGUGGAUAUAGAGGUAAAAGAGCAGCCUGUCCAUUGUUCGCAUGUUGUAGCGGAACCAGAUGGUCUGCCUUAGUAUUUUGACAUCAAGAAGUAUUUAGAGGACGGGACUUAUCCUGAGAAUGCAAUGUUCAACCAAAAGAAGUCGAUACGCCGCAUGGCCCUUAAUUUCUUUGCAAGUGGGGAAAUCCUUUACAGGAGGACUCCAGAUUUAGGUCUUCUCAGAUGCGUUGACGCUAAUGAAGCUGCAAAGCUUCUGGACCAGAUACAUACCGGAGUUUGUGGUACUCAUAUGAAUGGGCUCACUUUGACAAGAAAGAUCCUCCGAGCCGAUUAUUUUUGGAUGACUAUGGAGCAUGAUUGUGGCAAGUUUGUGCAGAAGUGUCAUAAAUGUCAAGUGCAUAGAGAUUUGAUUCGAGUGCCACCUCAUGAACUUAAUGCCAUGAGUUCACCUUGGCCCUUUGUAGCUUGGGGCAUGGAUGUCAUCGGUCCGAUAGAGCCAGCCGCCUCUAACGGACACAGAUUCAUUUUGGUUGCCAUUGACUACUUCACCAAGUGGGUGGAAGCAGCUUCGUAUAAAUCGGUGACCAAGAAGGUUGUAGCUGAUUUUGUUCGCAACAAUUUGAUAUGUAGGUUNNNNNNNNNNNNNNNNNNNNNNNNNNNNNNNNNNNNNNNNNNNNNNNNNNNNNNNNNNNNNNNNNNNNNNNNNNNNNNNNNNNNNNNNNNNNNNNNNNNNNNNNNNNNNNNNNNNNNNNNNNNNNNNNNNNNNNNNNNNNNNNNNNNNNNNNNNNNNNNNNNNNNNNNNNNNNNNNNNNNNNNNNNNNNNNNNNNNNNNNNNNNNNNNNNNNNNNNNNNNNNNNNNNNNNNNNNNNNNNNNNUUGUAUGGGUUCGCAAGCGGAUUGAUCAGUUAACAUUGAUUGAUGAGAAGAGAAUGAUUGCUGUUUGUCAUGGACAACUAUAUGGACAGAGAAUGAUUCGUGCUUUCCACAAGAAAGUAAGAGCCAGGAUAUUUGAAAUUGGCCAGCUGGUCCUUAAACGCAUUUUCCCUCAUCAGGAUGAGUACAAAGGGAAAUUUGCACCAAAUUGACAAGGACCCUACAUGGUUCGCAAAGAAUUAUCUGGAGGUGCCUUGGUCCUGUCGAAGAUGGAUGGCACCGAAUGGAUGAAACCGAUCAAUUCAGAUGUUGUCAAGAGACAUUAUGUGUGAAGUAUCAGUUUGUAUCAUUUCUUUGUAAUCGUUUUAUUUGCUUGUAAUCGCCUCGUUUAAAAUUUUAUCCCUUUUGUAAUGAACUACGUCUGACCUGAAUUCUCAAGAAGGAGAUACGUAGGCGGCCUCGGUCACCCCUUUUAUUCCUUUUUAAUUUUUCUUCGUAUUUGAACUACGUUCGACCUGAAUUCUCAAGAAUGAGAUACGUAGGCGGCCUAUGUCGGCCUCGGUCGGGUUUUUUUGUAAUUUUUCUUAUCUUUGAUAAUCAUUGAGAGGGAACUACGUUUGACCUGAUUCCUGCCUCAACGGGAUACGUAGGCACCACAAGAGCUCGGUCAUAUUUCCCAUAAGAUUUCUAUUUCCUUCACAAUAGAAACUGGGACAGAAUUUUUGAGAGGGACUCAAAAAGUCUCAAGAAGAAGAUCUCUCCAACAAAACCAAGAUUGAACUUACUUCGAGAUUUGCAACUGGGACAGAAUUUUUGAGAAAAUCUAAAAAAUUCCGUAAUUUACUUGCCAACAGUUCGAGAUAAGCCAAGACAAAUAGCUGGGACAGAAAUUUUGAGGAUGGCCUCAAAAUUUCAACAGGGUUUAUCGGCAGUUUAGAGUAACUUUGAAUACUUCCUAACAAGUAAUCAGAUAGAUAUCGAAACAUCAACUCCCAAUGACAUUCGUUAAGCUUGACGUGACAUGACACUUGGCAGUGAUCUUUUCCAAACAUUAUUUUUGAAAUGUCUUGUCUUAUCUAUCAAUUAUUUUGCACAAAAAUGUCUUGUCUUAUCUAUCAAGAGACGGGAGAUCAGAGAAAUCAACAGGAGAUAGCGAGACAAGGAGCAGACAACCGAAGAGAUCAACACAGAUCAAUUCAUUUUUAAACUAACAAUUUUUUCUGUGGAUGCAGGUCUAUAGGAAAUAGAUUAUGCUGCUUAUAUCAAAGAUUUUGAAAUAUGAAUAACAUUAUUUCAUCCAAUUCCCUACAAAGCGAAGUCCAUAAUGAACAUGCAAUUAUGUUCGGAGAUGGGACAAAAGAAAACCUUAAAGAGAGAAAUAUUAUUAUUUUCCAGCAACUAAAGAUACCUGGAAGAUAUUUAUCUACAUUACAUUAUCAGAUAUGAUAAUAUUCUUACCCUGAAGGUUAUUUAUUUAUAUUGUCGAUUGAGACGAUAUCACUACCCGGAGAGUCAUUUAUAUCGUAUCGUCAAAUGAGAUGAUACCACUACUCCGAGGGUCAUUUCCUUUAUAUUGUCGAUUGAGACGAUAUCACUAUCCGGAGAGUCAUUUAUAUCGUAUUGUCUAAUGAGAUGAUACCACUACUCCAAGAGUCAUUUGAUUAUAUUGUCAAUUGAGACGAUACCGUCAUCCAAAAGAUACCCAGAAGAUCACUCAAGUUGCUCGAUGAAGCAUUAUCUUCGUUCUGUAUCAGGGAGGCAUCAUCAAAAGAUUCAUGCAUCGCGGAAAAGAUAUUCACACAUUGUGAGAAAAGAGAUUCAUGCACCGCAAGAGAAAAAGUCAUGCAUCGCGAGAAAGAGAUUCAUGCAUAGCAAGAGAAGGAUUAAUGCAUCGCGGAAACGAAAUCAUGCAUCGCGGAGAAGUUAUCAUACAUUGCAAGAGGAGAAGUCAUACAUAGCAAAAAAAGAGAUUCAUGCAUUACAAAAGAAUGAAGCUCAUGCAUCGCAAAAGAAAGAAAGCAUGCAUUGCAAGAGAAAGAAGUCAUGCACCGUGGAGAAGUCAUGCAUAGCAAGAGAAAGAAGUCAUGCAUCGCGGAGAAGUCAUGCAUUGUAAGAGAAGAUUCAUGCAUCGCAAGUGAAGAUUCAUGCAUCGCAAAAAGAGAUUCAUACAUCGCGGAAAAAGGAUUCAUGCAUUGCAAGAGAAGAUUCAUGCAGCGCGAAAAGAGAUUCAUACAUCGCGGGAAAGAGAUUCACUAAGAUUCGCCUAUCAAAAGAAGAUCGACAUCGGCUGCAUCAUUUUCUUGCAACAACGACACCAAAAGAACUAUCAACAUAUUACAUCAGCCUAUUUUUAUUACUUUGACAUCAAAUUAAGAGUACAUUGAAGAUUAUAUUGCAAAUAUGAGACACAAGCUUUAUUUGCUUCACGUCAAACCCGAUGGAGUUGACGUCAAAUGUUCAAGGAGAACAAUUAAGUGUCAACACGGUAAAAGACAUUGUCUCCCAUUUGAAUUACAUUUUUAUGCUAAUGAGUUUUAUCUCAGUCUUUGCCGAGAGCAUCCGAAAGGAUGAGUCUCCAAAACAAACCACAGGUGCGGACGACAUCAAAAUGGAUGCAGCACAACGUGGAACUUUUUUUAGCAGCGAACUGGGACAUAGUCCAAAAAGGAGUGUCAAACUCUUAGGACGCGAGCAGAGGAGCGACUUCCACCACAAUCAAACCACACCCCUAUCAGAAGGCAUGUGGGUUUUUCUUAGGUUUGUCAAUUUCAGUUUCGCUUUCGGAAAUUUUUUGGUCUCUACCGGAAGCAGCUUUCCAAUCCGAGUGACAAAUGUGCCAAGAGCUUUGGGAAUUAUGUCCGUGUAAGUUCUUAAUUAUGGGUGUGAAGCGCGCCACAUUCAUGGCUAAGAGGUUGCAAGCCUCUUUUUCAUACUCGACUUGCUUUGUCACUUUUCCGGAACCAAAUGUUAUCUUGCAUAAUAGAUUUCAUUUUCAACCGAUAGAGUCGAACUACAAGCAGCCUGGUUCCCUAAGUUGAGGGAUAUGUAGGCGGAAUCAAUGUUGAAACUCGGCUGUAUUCCAUCAUUUGCUCUUAAAUCUUAUUCUCAAGCAUUUCGGUCUCUUCAUAAUCCAAUAUCGGGAUGACUUUUGGAUUCUUUCAAAUCGCGCGUUAAAUCAAGAGUAUUGAACUACAAGUGGCCUGAAUUCUCAUGUAGCCCGAGAUAAGUAGGAAACCCAUUUCCAAGGUUCGUCCAUAAUUCUUUAAGUCCAUACCAAAAUCCCUUUUUCAGAAAAGAUGAAGAUGUGGUCGGUCAAAAAUUGGAUUAGUCAAUUUCAUUUCCUCGAAUUCUUGAAUCAAUCCGAGUAAAACGAGGGACAGUUGUUGACACCUAAUUUUGACCCUCCCCGAUAAGAUUAAAUUUUCAAUGAUUUGGAAUAAUUAGUUUUACAAAACUCAAAAAAAUCAAUAAAUUAUUUUCUAAGUUUUAAAGCAAUUUUAGUCAUUUUUAUAAUUUUAAAACAAUAUAAUAUUUUUAUAUAAAUUUUGUAUGUAAUUGUUACAUUUCUUACGAGAAUUCAAAAAUCAUUUAAAAAAAAAUCUUACUUUUUAAAAAUGUUUUUGAUAAUUAGCUCACUUAAUAUUAGUUUAUAUUCCCGAAUUAGUUAUUUUUAUCUCGUUAAGAUUGAGAAGCUCGUAAAUCAAUUGUAUUAAUUCAUCUUAUUUGACUACUAGCCGAGUCUAUCCUAAUUAACUAAGGUCGGCUAUAUUUUAAAUUUUCAAUUUGCUAUGAUUUAGACUCAUAUGGCCGAACUUUAAAUCCAACUCUAUCAUAUUCAAUUUAAAAGACCAAAUAUUGGACCCCUUUUUAUAUUCCCAUUUAAUCUCAACCCAAGUUCCCCUUUAUUCCCAGCAACCCACCAAAUAAAAUCCAGCCCAACUAUUUUCUCUUUUGUUUUCAGAUCACCUAGCCCACUCCAUCUCCUUAACCCGACUUGACUCGACCCAUUUCCCCUAUUCCCCUUCACAAAAAAAAUCCAGAAAGUUGUACACGUUAACAGCAACAAGAACAGCUUCAAACGCUCACAGGGAUCGACAGAGCCAUUAAGGCUCGAUUGUAGCAGCGAAGCACGCGUCUACCCUCCUUUCCUCUUCCGGAAAGAGUCAAAAUUACAGGAAAAAGGGUGUUUCCCUUAAAUGGUGAAAUAAUUUUUGAGUUUGAAAUUCAAGUUGGCCCUAAUUCCAUCCGGAUUCCCCCCAAAAUCUACCCUAAUUUCCUCUAUAUAACAUCUUUUCCAUUCAUUUGUAAGGGAGUCGUCGAAUUUUUCCUUGAACAAAAAAAAAAAAAACCUAAACAGCUAGAGCAAAAAUAGUCGAAAUACACACUAAAUAAAUUAAGAGAGUAGAGAAGAUAUUCGGUCCUAAUCUAAAGUUCUCUAUUCUAAUUCGUUGCCAGUGCUUUCGCAAAGCUCAGUUGAGGUUGAGUUUUCGCUUGAGUCCACUGCUUUUUCCUUGUUCGUGCCGGGCAUUUGCGUGAAAGUCGUUGCUCCCUACUCGUUCCCGUCUCUGUUUCGCUGCCUCGAAAAAGGUAUACGGCUUGCCUCUUCUCACAGUCUAUGUCCUAAUUUGGAUUUGUAUUUGUUUGUUUAGUUAGUUACGUUGUUCUGGGUUUGACCAUUUUGAUGUGAAGUGUUGCUUCAUGUUCAUGCAGUAUUAAUUACAUUUAGCUGUUCUCAUGAUGAAAUUAGGCAGAAUCGAUGUCGAUUUUUUAGUCAUAAAAUUUUGUCUACAUAAUCUUGAAUAUUGCACCCUCAUCGCUUACUCAGUUCACUCUUUCGUUGUUUAUCAUGCUUGUCACCCGCUUGGAUGCUCAUUAUUACAAUUGGUUCCUAUUGUUGUAAACAUAAUUUCAUGUUUAUACCACUGAUUCACAGAAAUAUUAGAAGUACUCCUCAAGCAUGCGAUUAGCUCAAAUCCUCUGUGUCUUAUCACCUAUAUGUCUUAUUAGCAUUUUCUUUUGUCCUAAUGCUCAUAUUUGCAAGUCAAGUCGGUAUAAAAUCCGAGCUUUCUUGUUUUAUUUUCUGUUUUAGUUUUAUUGGAGUUAUAGUGUUCAAGGUCAUUUGAAGUGUGAUUUUGUUGGUGUUGACUUCUCGUUGUAUGUCUUGCCGAAUACUCGGCCCCCCUAUGUAUUCCCUUGGUUUUGAUGUAUCGUGUUUAUAGCUUCCGUUUUGAAGCAAAUAAGGUCCAUUUAUGUUUGAUGGCUUUCUAGUAAUGUGUAAAACCGAGAUCCCGUAAACCAUUGUGUGAAGUUGUGUUGUUGUUAAGUUUAUUUAUUUCUUCUAGUCGGAUGUAGAUUCUUGUCUAAUCUAUUUCUUGCCUCACUGUAGGUUAUUAAGUAUUCAAUUAAUAAUAGCAAAUAGCUCAUAUGGGUUUGAAUAUUCCGUACAUUUUAUUAUAUUUCAAACAUGCUAUAUUAUGGGAUGUUAUUUGAUAUACCUUGCUAAUAUUUGUCUAAAUAUUUCCUUUAGAAUGAUUAGAUGUGAGGUGUCUUUCUAGUAUGAUAGAUAGGGGUACUACUUUAUUGUUUAAUUUUAAAAAAAAUGUGGUUUCCUCUUGCCAAAUGUGUGCUUUCCUUUCAUUUUUGAAUCUUGUGUUUAUUUGAAAAUUUGUCAAAGUUCAUUGGGAGUGGCUUUUUCUUUCGUUUUGAGUUGUCUAGUUUGCUUUGCUAUGAAUUAAAAUCAUAUUUCUUAUUUCCUUAUCUCAUAUGCUAAUGUUGUCUUUUCUUUCGUAUGUUGGAUUGUCUCCGAGUCCUCUUGGACCCCAACCUUUUCCCCCAUAUUCCGGAUAGGCCAUAAAGGCCCAAUUACAUUUUUUUCGAUCGAGUCAACCCCCAUUUCCGAGUGAGAGAAAUUGAUGAACAGGUGGAAAGCAAUAUAGGUGGCUGGAAAUUUAAUUUGCAGGCCUCAAAAGCCCAAAAGAGGGCAGUAUACACGAUGUAUACACAAGUAUACAUAGAAAGAACAGCGAUAUACAAGUCUGAAAUGACGAUACAGGUGCUGGAAAUUUGAAGUGGACUAUCUAUAUUUGAUAUACGGUCCGAUAUACACAAAAAUGGAUCGAAAUGCGGCCUAUAUACAUCGAUAUACGCCUUUGGUAUACACAACUCUUUGGGGCGAAAAUGUCCUUAAGUCCAAUAGAUUUGGCCCAAAUUUGGGCAUCCUCUUAUUAUUGCCAUUAUUUAUUUAUUUAUUCUCUAACCCAUUUUAUGUGAUUUGGUUAUUUAACUUAAUUAAUCCCCUAAGGAUGAACCACUUUUGAUUAUGAUAACUUAUUUCGUCUUAUUUAAUUAGUUUUCUUUACUUGACCAUUUUGAAAAAGUUUACUUUUCUUUCUAAAUGAUUUCAAAACAUUUAAGUUGAAUGAAUUAUUUUUACAUCCUUUCUUCUCGAAUUAAUCUUCAAAGUUAGUUGCAAAGUCUAUUUUUUCCCCGAGUUUUGGGCAAAGCCCGAGUUCAAAUUUUCUCCUUUCUCCUGUUACAGUUUUGGGCAAAAGCCCGAGUUCAAAUUUUCUCCUUUCUCCUGUUACAUUUAUUUGUUAUUUUAGUGACUAACUCUUUAUAUGAAUUGGUUUCAACUUAAUUAAUUUCCAAAGGUAGUCGUUUCUCUUUAUAUUCAAAAGUUAAAAUAUUUAUUCUUUCUUAUACAUACAAUUUAUUUGUUACUCAGUUCUAUUUUAGCUUUGUCGAUAGUUAAGUUACCCCCCCCCUUUUAGAAAUUUCCCCUUUAGUUCAUUUCCCCUUAGAUAAAUAAAAAAUGAUAAAAAUAAUAAUAGUAAUAAAUAAGUAGGUUAAAAUAAAUGAGCUUUUACUUAGUUAAAAUUUCCCAAAUUAGUUAAAAUAGAGUUCUUUUAUUUAGUUAAAAUUUCAAAAUUAGUUAAAAUAAAUGAGUUUUUACUUAGUUAAAAUUUCCAAAAUUAGUUAAAAUAAACGAGUUCUUUUAUUUAGUUGAAAUUUCAAAACUUAGUUAAAAUAAAUGAGUUCUUUUACCUAGUUAAAAUUUGAAAAUUAGUCAAAGUCGUUAUGAGUUUUUUUACUUAGUUAAAAUUUCAAAAUUAGUCAAAAUCAUUUUGGUCAAAUCGCCGGUCUACCGCGAGUUUGUGGGCAUUCCGAGGGCCUAAGACCUUCUCGGAAUGUACAUUGAACUUCGAACCCUUUUAUUUUCAAUGGAUUUUAUCUAUUUAAAUCUUUUGAAAACCUUUAACUUUUUCUUGAUUUUUUACUAAAAAUUAUGUGGCGACUCUGUUCUUUUGGAAAUUUGAUUUCUCUUAAACUAUAAGUUUAAUCGAUUUUUUGAAAACUCAGUCAUUUUCCUUGUAUAUAUCUUUUUUAAGUAAAACAAUGUAGGCGGGAUCAAUGUUGAAAACUUGGCUGUAUUCCAAUAUGCACUCUUAAAUCUUAUUUCCAAGCAUUUCGGUCUCUUCAUAAUUCGAUAUCGGGAUGACUUUUUAGUUCUUUCAAAAUCGUAUGUCAAAUCAAGCAUGUCGAACUACAAGUGGCCUAAAUUCUCAUAUAGCCUGAAAUAUGUAGGAAACCCAUUUCCGAGAUUCGGACAUAAUUCCUAAAGUCCGUACCAAAAUCCCUUUCCUAAGGAUGAAGAUGUGGUCGGUCAAAAUUGGAUUUGUCAAUUUCAUUUGCCUUGAAUUUCUUUCAUCAAUCCAAGUCAAACGAGUGACAGUUGUUGACACCCAAUUUUGGAUCUCCACAAUAUAUAUUAAUCACCGAGCUUCUUAAAUUCCAAACGAUUUGAAAUAAUUAGUUUUUAUAAAGUUUAAAAUAUUUUUUUCAAGUUACUUUUAAUCAAUUUUAUAUUUUUAUAACUUUUAGAUUAUAUAUAUGUUUUACAUAAUUAUGUGUAUAAUUAGUACAUUUUAUGAAUAUUCGAAAAUCGCCUCAAUUUUUUUUUUAAGUUUUACUUAAAUAGUUGGUUAAUUGGUUUAGUUAAUUAAUACUUAUAUUUUUGAGUUAUUAGUUUAUAAUUAAGUUAAUUAUGUUAUUUCGUUAGGAUUAAGAAGCUAACUAAUUAAUCAUAUUAAUUUAUCUUAUUUAAUUAUUAGCCGGGUUUACUAAAUUUGAUUAAUUUGGCUACAAAUGAAAUUCAUAUGGCUAUUGUGUAAUUGCAAUUUCAGCCAUUCUUUUACCUCCAUUCAAUCUUUUGUAAAAUAAUUUGGGCCAUUUUUCUAACAUCCCAAAAGUCAGAUUAGCUGACCUCAUUCCUAGCCCAUAUUACUAUACAACAAUUCUAAAAUAACCCAGGCCCAACACUAAUACAAUACCAGUAGCCCACCAUUCCAGCAAUACAUAUUACAUAUGUUACAGCAACAGCGUACAAUAAUACCAAACCGACCCACCCCUGUACAUUUUCUUCUUCUUCCAGCAAAACAGUGACCAAACCCAGAACCUCAAAUCGCGACCCAAAGCCAUCACAAAAUCCAGUGACCCGAGUCUAGCACGCGCGUCUGUCUCCCUCUCUCCCUUAUCCUCUCCGUACGAGAAUAAUCCAGGUGUCCCCAUCUCCUUGAUUACAACUUUCAACCUUAUCCUGAAAGGAAUUCGAAUUUUGAAUUUUGAAUUUUGAAUUCACCCAAAAUUCCUCACUCGUUUUCCCCCCAUUUCAGCUUGUUCUCCUCUAUAAAAGCCAAUUUAUUCUUCAUUAAGAGGGACGGGCAAAAAAUUUUACAACGUAUGGGAGAACAGUGAGAAAAAAAUAUAAGAAAGGAGUCGCAAUUUACAAAGUAUAGACAACUUAUAUUAGAGCAAGAUGAUAAGGAAAUAAAAUGGAUAUAAACAAGGCAUUUUGAGAUAGGUUGCGAGAUUGGGAGUAUUUGGAGCCAUACUUCCUCGGUUUUACCUCUUGCGAGUUUGGUGUAGUCUAUUUGUAGUCGUGGAAAGCUCUUUAGCUCGUUUUGUCUCAGUUCGCUGCCACAAAUAAGGUAACAUUCCUUCCCUUAUUCUCUUUUGCUACAGUUCUAUUUUUCAUAUGAUAAGAAAUGCAUAUUUCAGUGAUUUUCAUUUUUGUUUUCUUAUGUGCAUUUAGCCUAUCUCUCGUUUCUUUAGCUUCUGAGUUUCAGAGUUAUUCUCAGGUUUCUGUAUGUUUAAAUUUUACUCCAAUCACAAAUCUUUAGUAUAAAUCAACCUUCUAUUGUUUAUUCCGUUCUAAAUGAAUUGUUAUCGCUUUAGCGGUUUAUUUUAAACUCUGUUGUUGAUAAGAUAGCCUCAUGUUUCUUGUUUCAAACUUGCGGUAUCUUGACUCUAGUAUAAUUUCUGAUUUCUUAGAUUAUGAUUUUUGGUGUUGGACUGCUGGAUUCAUUCUGGAAUACUCAAUAGAUGUAGUCUUAUGUUCAAGUUUAGAUGUUCAACCUAUCGAAUUGAGCUCAUAAUGUUGUUGCUUGUUUGAAUGACUUAAGAUGUAUGCUGAUUUCCUCUCUUGUUGGCUUAAUCUGAAAUUCCCUCAUGUCCAUUUAAUUCAACCCCCUAUUUACUGUAGCAUCGUAAUUAUUUUUCUCUUCAUUGGCUAAAAUCUGGUUGCGAAUUGUUGAGAUCUAAGUUUAAAUUUCAGGUUCUAGUUUGUUUAAAGUUCAUGAAUGUUUUAAGUCUCGUGUUUACCUUAGUUUCUACUCGUCUACCCACCUAUUCUGUUUUGAUUCGUACCACCCUGUUCUGAAUUUAUUUGGUAUUCGUUUAGUCUAGUUUAGCUUCGAAUUUUGUCACCUGAAUCAAGUCCUGCCUUGUUGUUCAUUUGGAGCUUUACUUUCUUACAUUAAGCCCAUGUAAGCGUGGUUAAUUGUUAAGCAUAUGUCCAGCAUGUUUCCAUCUUUUUUUUCUUCGCCUGGUUGAAUUAGUAUGAUAAUAUGCCCUCACUGUUUUCCCUAUCUAAAUUAAGCUUGUUUUGAGUGCAUUUUGCCAUCAAUGUUGUUAGUUACCGUCUCCAGGGGGUAUGUUUAUUUCAUUUCCUUUGGGUCUGAUUUGGUGGUCUUUCCUAAUAUGCUGUAGUAGCAUUGGUUCAUUGAUAUAAAACUAUAUUCAUUGUUAAAGUGACUAGGUUAGGGUAGCUUCAAAUUCAUUUGGUUAUGUGAGAUUAGAAUGUUUCAUUUAAUAUCAUUCGGAAUAGAUGAAUUAUAGGAUAACAACUUCGAUAUUAACAGUGGAAUAUUAUAUUGCGCAGUAUUUUAUAGCAUCGUCCUUUUUUAUUUAUCAUUUUGAACUUUUAUUAACUUACUUACAUCCAUUUCUUUUGCAUGUGAAUUUGCCCAAGUCUUCACGGACUCUAUCUUUGCAUUUCAAAGGGGCCACGAAUCCCCCCAAAAUUCCUUUUUCGAGUCGGCCAACAUGAAAAAUCGAAGUGCAGGUCCUUGACAUUGACGUACAGGUGUUUGGAGCGAAUCAAAGUGCUGGAUACACACAAUAUACAGCGAUAUACAUCAGUCGUAUACACUAAAUAUUGCAUUGAAAAUGGGCUAAAAGAGCCCUAAAUUUUCAGCUUUGUAUUUUGUUACUUUUGGGCCUAAGCUCUUCAUUUGCAAUUAUUAUUAUCACUUGUUAGUUCUUAGGACAGGUGAAAGAUGGGCCUAAGGCCCAAAGAAAUCAAUUUCAAGAUUAGUCUAGGACAUGUAUUAAGUAUUGGGCCUUUGGACCCAAAAUUGAAGACCCAAGUGCAGACCCAGGCAGACAGAACUAGACUUAGGCCCAAACAUUUCUUCUCUUUAUUUGCUUACCUGUUUUUUAUGGUGUCUUAUUUGUUCAAUUAAUUAUAAGAUUUUUCACUAACUCAAUUCCCCAAAGAAGAAUCAACUAUGUCUUUUAAAAUCAAAUAAGCUACACUUUAUUUUACUUGAAUUUAAUUUUUUUAAAAGUAUUUUUGAUAUUUUUCUACUUAAGCAAUAACCUUAUUUCCCCUCCCAUAAAAAUGAGUUCAAAAAAAAAAUGUUUACUUCAUAUAUUUAUCCAAGCAUGCCUAUUCUCUAAAUAAUUUAGCCAAAUAUAAUUAAUCAUUAGAUAACCGCAUGUUAGCGGGAAUUCAGGUGCUUUCAAACCCUUCUCGAAAUGCUAAUAAGAACCCCAAACCCCUUUGAAUAUUUUCAAUUGAUUUCUGUUUGAAUCUUUUGAAAAAAAAUCAGUUUUCUUAAUUUCCCUUUAAAAAUUAAGUAGCGACUCUAAAACAUCGUUUUCUCCUUUUAAAUAAAACAACAUGUUUAGGGGUUAAACGUUCGGGUACGACUCCCCAAGGACCACCCAAGGGGUCGUCGAGGAGGACCCCAAAACAGUCGAUAAAAGAUGUCAAAAAAUGGGAACCACACAUGGCCAUCCACUGGCCGUGGUUAGACCCACGCCCAGUGGGUUGGGGUUGUGGGUCAAGGCCUAAGUUGGCCUGCAACUUCUGAGCUGCAGACUCCAAUCACGAACCAAGAUGAUUCCCCGUGAACCCACCCAUGGUUCGUGGGUGGGAGUCUCGUGAAUGCUGUCAGGUUUUAACAAUUUAGUUUUUAGUUAAGGGCUUGAGGGUUAGUUUAGUUAUUAAUUAGGGGUUAAUGUAGGUCGGUUAAUAGGUUAUUUAUCCACCUAUAUAAGUCUAAUAGGCCCCUAAACUAAUCAUUAGAACUCAUUCAUCUAAGAACCCACUUAAGAAAUUCUCUCUCUAGAAGUGAAGAAGAAGAAGAAGAGGAGAGGAAGUUGGGGGAGCAGCUUAGGGAGAUUUUGUCCAUGGAUUCAAGCUUUGUUUAGGGCUUUGAUAAGAGGUAUGUGAAGCUUAAUCAUCUAUUGGUUCUUCCACCCAUAGAGCCCCCUAGUUUCCCCUCUAUUGCGAAGUCAAAAACCCAAUUCUAGCUAGGGUUUGCUUCUACAUUGUGAGUAGCGUUUGAAUAAGAUUCCAAUGAGUUGGAUAGUGCUCAAUUAUGAUGGUUUUAGUAUUGAAUCAUGAUGUAUUGAUAAUUUCAUGUGAUUUCUAUGGUAAACCCUAGUUUCAAUUGAUAAAUGUGUUGUUUGUGGGUUUAUGCCAUUAGAGGUGAAUUUGAAGGUUCAAAGGUAAUCUUCCUAAAUCAAUGUCAUGUAUAGUAAUUGAUCAAAGUUAGGGUCAUAUCAUAAUGAAUAGAACUAGACUUGAAUGAAUGUGGAGGAUCUUGACUUGUAAAGAUGAAAUUGAACCUUUAUGAUCAAAUAUGACUAAAAUCACCUACUUAUGAAGAACAUGAAUAGAAUACCUUGAAAACCUAGGUAUAAAGAAAAGAUUAAGAAAGAAACCUUGAAAGUAAGGUUUGUGAUCAUAAUAGUAGGGCUUUAAAAGGAAGCUAAGGUGAUUAACUAUUGAUGCUAAGGCUUUGAGAGUAAAGUCUAAAAGAGAUUAUAAGUCUAAUAGGUUGAAUUGUGGUGAAAGUUAUAUAAUCAUCUAACCUACCUUAUGAAGGCUUGAAUGUGUAAAGUGAUGAGAUCACUUGAACAUGGAUUGUUGUCAAGGACAUUCUUCCAUGAGAUAGGAGUAUUAAGCAAGGCUUAAUAGUGUAAAUCAUGGGUGUAAGCUUUGCCGUAAGUGGAUAUUGUCAAUGAGAAUAGAGGGUCACACAAGAUAGCGUCCGGGCGCCUAGUUGAAAGGAGAACCACACCUAGUUGAUGUGAGGAAUAUCUAAGAAAAGGGGGAACUCUUACAUAGUAGAGUGUGGGUUUUCCCAAAGGUAGGUCUCAUGAGAUGGAACCCUUCACAUAGUUGAGUCAAGGAUUCUAGUAGCAAUCUUCAUAUCCUUUGAACUAAGACAUGCUUAAAGAAGUAUCCAUAGUGUUCCAAAGCAUAGAUGAACUAAAAUUUACUAAGAUGUACUUCAUAGUGUUCAUGAGUAUAGAUGGACUAAGAUUUACUUAAAGAUGUACUUCAUAGUGUUCAUUAGUAUAAAUGGACUUAGACAUGCUUAAAGUAGUAUCUCAUUGGGUCUAUUUUUAAUAAGGAACCUAGACUUGCUUAAAGUAGUAUCUCAUAGGGUUCAACCUAGUAAGGGACUAAGAUGUGCUCAAGGGGGUACCUCACAAUGUCUAAGGCUCAAAGAGAGGGACUAGUUUCCAACCAAGAAGUAAGAGCAUGAGAACCCAAAGGUUAUACUUAGUGUGAUUGGUAGUAUGGGAUGCCAAUCAUGCCUUACAUAAGCGUGGCUUAGGGUUAACCAAGAAAGUGUUUCUUAGAAGUUGAGAUAGGUUGUGUUAUAGUUGCCUUCCUUGAUAGUAUGGACUUAAGGUGAGAGUUUUCCCUUAGUCAUGAGAAGUUGAGUAUUAUGACAAGAUCCUUAGGUGACUAGUUUAAAGGGCCUAAAGGAGUACUUUGUGUGGGUAGUAUUAUGGGAUGCUAGUCAUACACGGUACGACUUGAAGCUACUUACGAAAGCCUAAGACUUAUCCAUGACAUGAAAACCUAGGUCUUGACUAUGAACGGGGACUAUGCCCAAGAACAACCAAAGAGAGGUACAUGGCUUGCAUGGUAGUAUGGGAUGUUAUCCUUGCCCUUACACAUGUAUACUUGGAGGUGGCUUGUGAAGUAGUUCUCUUGAAGUACGAAAGACUUAAGGUUGAAUUAUGUAACCAUGUAUAUCUAAGAAAAUAUUAUGCUAUGAUUAUGAUGUAUCUCCUAUGCUCAUUUAUUUGUCUUAUGAUGACUUAUGAUAUACGAUGCUUAUGUUGGAGAUUAUGAUAUGAUAAUUAUGCUUAUGAUUAUGUUAUUGUCUCUUAUGUUUAUGUCUUAUGUUGACUAACCAUUUUGAGAUGCUCUUAUAUUGUUAUGCUAGCUUUCAUACUUAGUACAUUUUGUACUAACACAUAUUGCCUACAUUCUAAUCAAAUGUAGGGUUUGGAGAUUGAGUUCUACUUGGAGAUAGGUUUCUAAGGAGCUAAGAAAGAUUGAAGACUUGGUGAGUCCUCAUAGCUUCGAGGACGAACCUAUUACCUUUCUUAUAUCAUUUACUUUUAUGUUUUAGAAUUUGUAUGGGUUGCGUCCCAAGAGUUCUUUUAUUCAAGUCAAGUUAGAUGGUUUGAGACAAAAGUGUAGUAAAGUCUUUCGCUUUCUUUAUGAAAAAAAUGACUUCGAUUGUAAAGAAAAGUUUUAAAUUAUUCCCGUAUUUUCCUACUAUCUCUUGUUCAAGAUAUGCUAAGGGCUUGUAUGAGACUUUUCGGAGUCUCGUACGUCGUGUUACUUCUAGGGUGUAGACUCGGGUCGUGACAUUUUUACCAAAUUGCUCACCGCCAGUUUCAAGAGUAGCUCCACUAUCAACAACAGAUCUAAUGUACUUCAUGAUCUUCUCAAACUGUUUUGAAUCAAUUUGUUACGACAGGAAACUCUCAGGUUUAGUAUUGUUACCUUAAGAAAAGACUUAAAAGGAAUGAGAUAUGCUUUUGUUUUUCGUUAUACAGGUUUAAUACAUUGGUUUCCAACAUUUUAGAUAAGAAAGAGGAUUAGUUAGGAGAUCAUCAGUACUUGAGGACCCUGCUCAGUGCCUGAUUUAAACGGAUCACCAACUACUCGUUUCAAGGUGCGUGUCUUUGCCUUCUCCAGAAAUUCAUCAUAGACUUUCUCGUGAACAUAGGUCCAAGAGCCAACACAACAACAUUGGCCCUUUAAAAUUUAUGUCAUAGGUGUUAGUAUCUAACAUGAACCUAACCAACAACCAAUGCAGAAGUAUAGAUAGGAAAUAGUACAUGAUUAAAGAAGAGAGCAAAGUGAGCUUGUUCAACGGUCGUAUCAAUAUCAGAAUCCUCAUAAACAAUAAAAGGGGAUUUCCCUCCGAGUUCCAAUGUCACAGGCUUAAGAUUGCUCUUAGCAGCCAAUUCAAGUAUGGUUUUCCCGGUCUCUGUUGAUCCAGUAAAAGUAAGCUGUUGGCGGUUGAUGGGUCGUGGAUGGUCACUGUGUUGCUGUUAAAUUCGGCCAAGUGGAGGGGCAAUGUGGUAAAUUCGUUUUUGAGUUAUUUUAGUUAAUAGAUGGUUAUUAUUGGUUUAUUAAUGUAUUUUAAGGGUUUUAAAAGUAUUAAAUGUAGAAAUCUCACCCUAAGUAUGGAGAAAUCAAGGAUUGUAUUGAUAAUUGAAUGGUUGAGUUNNNNNNNNNNNNNNNNNNNNNNNNNNNNNNNUUCCGUUCCGGUCCGGUCCCGGUAAAUCAUUUUUAAUUAAAAUAAAAAAUAAUAUUUUUGUCAUUAUUUACUUUUAUUAGCAUUUCUUUUUUGUUUAUUUAAUUUUUUAAAAUUACAAACUUAUGUUAUUUAACUUACAAGUUAUAAGUAUAACUUAAUAACUUAUAAACUUCAAAAGAUUCAAAUCUUUAAAACUUAUAACAUAACUACUUAAGCUCAAAAACUAAAAAAAAAACUUUAUUAAACUUAACUUACAAACUUAUAUACGUAAAAAUUUAAAAAAAUAUCUUUAAAAUAAACUUAAGUAAAAUUAUUAUAAAUUUUAAAACUUAAAUACUAUAAACUAAUAUAACUUAGAAAAAUAAAAAAACAUUCGUAUUUUCGUAAUUCAAAAUAACUCAAAAAAAAUAAUUUUUUUUUUUAAAUAGCUAUAUGUGCCGUCCCAUUUAUCCCAUCCCGUUCCGUUCCGGUCCAUUCCGGUCCGUCCCAGUUCUAUCCCGGUAUAUAGUGGGACGGGACGGAACCGAGCCUCCAUCCCGGUAGUUCCGGUCCGGUUCAUCCCGGUACCGGUCAACAACCCGGUCAAACCGUCCCGUUCCGGUCCGGUUCCGGUUCGUUCCGGUCCGGUGGUCCCAUUCCGGUCCGGUGCCCAGCCUUAGUUGAGUUACAUACUCUUUAUAUAGGAGAAAAGUCCUAUACUAGUUACACUAGGAAUCCUAAUACAACAUAAAUAUAUUAUUUACGCCUUAUCCCAUUCGACUACAUCAGCUUUAGUCGUACAUAAUAUAGACUUAUACAUAAAUUAGGAUUUAGUAGUCUAGUCCUAGUGUAACUCUAACUCUAACUCGUCAGUCAGCUUCGUUGAACCUGUUCCUUUGACAUGUUCCAUCAACUUCCUUCAACACUUCCCCUUAAGCUAGUGAGUGGAGGGACUGUAACUCCUAGCAUGCUAUGAAACUCAGCAAAAACCUGUUUGGUUAAUGCCUUUGUAUGAAUAUCAGUUAGUUGAUCCUUAGACGUCACAAACUGAGUAAGAAAUUGUCCUCUGGCCACCUUCUCACGAACAAAAUGAUAAUCCAUUUCAACAUGUUUGGUUCUAGCAUGCAUAACUGGAUUAACUGUCAUAUACAAGACACUCAUGUUAUCACAAUACAAUGUAGGUACAGAUAGAAGAAACACCCCAAGGUCAUGAAGUAGAUACAUGAUCCAUGUCAUCUCUGCUGCAGUGGAGGUUAGUGCUCUAUACUCAGCUUCAGCACUCGAUCGGGCAACUGUGGACUAUUUCUUGGAAGUCCAUGAACUACAGUUUGCACCUAGGUAGAUGUUAUAGCCUGUAGUUGAUCUCCUAGUGGUGGUGCAACAUCCCCAAUCAACAUCUGAGUAUCCAUACAACACACAUGGUGAUUGUGAAAUAAGUCUGAGUCCAAUGUGUAGAGUACAUUUGGUGUACUUGAGAAUCCAUUUCACCCCUUGAAGAUGUUCACUGUUAGGACUUUGCAUAAAUUGGCUUGCUAAAUUCACAACAUGAGUAAUAUCCGGUCUUGUGAGUGUCAAGUAUUAAAGACUUCCUACUAUCAUUCUGUAAAAAGAUGCAUCAACCAAGCUUCUCACAGCUUCAUGUAGACCAUGUUUUUUAGCCAAAGGAGUGGCUAUAGCCUUUGCCAUAGUUAUUUCAGUUUUGUCCAACAGCUCAGCAGCAUACUUACUCUGACUUAAGUGUAUACCCCCAGCAAAAUACUUAACCUCUUCUCUUAGAAAGAAGUGUAAAGGACCAAGAUCUUUCAUUGCAAAUUCUUUCCCAAGUUGUCGAACUAACUAUGAGACAUACAAUGGAUUACUACCUCUGACAAUGAUAUUAUCCACAUAUAACAAGAGAAAUAUGGUGCCUUUGUGACCUUGCAUUGUAAAUAAUGAAGAAUCUACUUUACUACAGAUGAAGCUAAGGUGUAAGAGAUGCAUGUUAAACCUAUCAAACUAGGCUCUUUGUGUUUGUUUAAGACCAUACAAUGCCUUUUUAUGUAGACACACAUGUUAAGGAUACUUGGGAUCAAUAAAUCCAGGAGGUUGACUCAUGUACACCUCUUCUUGUAAGAACCCAUGAAGAAAGGCAUUUUUGACAUUGAGUUGUCUACCUUCCCACCUUGAGCUGAUGGCAAUGGAUAGAACUACUCUAAUAGUUGUGGCUUUAACCACAGGGCUAAAAGUUUCUUCAAAGUCUAUGCCUUCAAGCUGAGAGAAUCCCCUGGCUACAAGUCUUGCCUUGUAUCUAUCUAUUGUUCCAUCAGCUUUUAAUUUGGUCUUGAAUACCCAUUUUGAGCCAACCAAGUUUAUACCAGAAGAUUUGGGCACCAAUAUCCAUGUCUUGUUAGUGUGUAAAGCAUUGAUUUCCUCAUGUAUUGCUGCAAGCCAAUGAGGUGACUUAAGUGCUUCCUUAGUAGUGUUUGGUUCCCUCAGAAUGUCUUUUCUGCUGCGAGCAACAAGUGACAAGUGGUGUUCCUUCGCCUUGUGUCUAGUGAUCAUAUGAAGCCCUUGUGGUGCAGGAAGUACCUCAACUGGUACAUCAACCAAAGUAGUUGACUGAAGUGUAGUAUUGUCAUAUUGAUGGUCAACAAGAACAUCAACUAAAGUAGUUAUUUGAUGAUGCUCAUUGACUGGACCUGUAAGUGCAACAUGUUCCUCACUGCCACUAGUAGAUCCAAAUCCUACAGCUGGAGUUUCAAUACUAUUGUAUGGAUCAUCACAUUCAACCUGUUCCUCAGCAUCUGAUCAUACGCCGGAGAGGUCAAUGGUAUUCUCAUCAUCAAGAAGUGUAUGAGUUGUAGCAACAUUAUCACCAUUAACGUGUGGACUAGCAGCCUUUACUUCCCCUGAAUCAGAAUUAUCAUGUGCCUGCAGUUUAGAGAAAGAUUCAACAAAGGUAGCAAGGUGAGAUGAGACAUCAAUAUUAGUCUGAGAUUGUUUUGGAGACACAUAGGGUAUUGUGUUUUCAUCAAACACAACAUGUUUGGAUAUGUAAACUCCUUGUAGAGGGAUGAUAGCAUUUAUAUCCUUUGUGUAAGUUGUUGUAUCCUAUGAACACACAAGGGUAAUUCUUUGGACUGACCUUGUUGCUACCCUUAAUAUACGGAAAACAUCUACACCCAAACAUUUUUAGGCUGUUAUAAUCAGGUUGUUCCCCAUACAACUUAACAAAUGGAGUCACCAUCUUUAGGACUGAGGAAGGUAGUCUAUUGAUUAGAAAUACUGCAGUGAGGAAAGCCUCAACCCAUAGAAACAAAGGUAGAUUAACAUGAAGUAGUAGAGUUAAGUGAGUCUCCACAAUAUGUCUAUGUUUUCUCUCUGCAACCCCCAUUUUGUUCGGUUGUGUUAGGACAUGAAAUAUAUCUCACAGUGUCACAAUUUUCCAAAUAAUUGAUGAAGUCUAUUUGGAUAAACUCACCACCUCCAUCACACUGAAAAAAUUUGAUCUCUUUAGAAAAUUGUUUUUCCACCAUUUUUUGGAAUUUUAGAAAGACCUCAAAAAUUUCAGAUUUCUUUUUCAGUGGUUAAAUCCAUGUGUAUCUCGUGUGAUCAUCAACAAAAACAACAUAAUAUUUCAUAUGUUGGGACGAUUCAAGAGGAGCAAGUCCCCAUAAGUCACAAUGAAUUUUCAAUAGAGGUUCUUUCUCAAUUUUAUUUCUCAAACCAAAUGGAAAGAGUAACCAACUGACAACUAGAACAAACAGUAGGCAUUUUAUUCCAACUACUAAUAUUAAUGCAACUAUUACUACUCAAAACUUUUAAAGACUUCAAACUAGGGUGACCUAAUCUAGCAUGCCACAUGUUGUCUGACGUGUUCCAAUCGUGUGCAACAGUUAAAGCAUAGAGAUUGUUAUCUUCCAAAGCAUAGAGUCCAUUCCUUUUAGAUCCCUUGGCCAGCAGUGACUUUGCCCUCUUGUCCUUUACAACAAAAUUAGUUUCAUCAAAUUCAAGAGUGCAACAAUUAUCCUUUGCAAGCUUACUAACUGAGAGUAAAUUUUUAUUAAUCUUAGGAACUACAAGAACUUCUUUUAACUUUAGGCCUGAUCUGGAUAUGUUCCCAACAUGUGUUAUGUCUAACUUUGAUCCAUUCCUAAUAAUGAUUUUAUCAUGUCCAUUGUAGUGUUUAAGAUCAGUUAGGAUACCUGAGUUAUGUGUCAUAUGGCUACUUGCUCUUGAGUCCACAUAGAAGGUGUCAUCAGUAGUGUUUCGAAAAUUAGUAGCAGCCAAAGCUUUUGGUAGCUCAUCUGUGGCUUGGUAAGAGUAAUCCCACCUGUAAAAACACUUAAGAGCAGUAUGAUUAUUCCUACCACAAAUUUGACACGCAUCAGUAUUGUUCCUCUCAUGACUUUCACUUGAAGGACUGUUCUGAGUACCUAGUAUGUUUCUGCUGUUAUGAGAACAUGUUCCUUGUCCAGCAGGCUUGAAGUCUCUUCCUCUAGAGUUAAAGUUAUUAUUUCCCCUUCUUUGAGAGUAUUUUCCUCUUCCCCUACCUCUUUGGGCAGAGAAUGUCAUGUUAUGGUUUUGUUGGAGCACUUCUUCUUCAUCCUCCUUCAUAUCAAAACCCCUGAGAGCAUUAACAAAUUGAUUAAGAGUAGGAUAUGGUGUCUUACCUAGCAUGAUAGUCCUGAAAGUCUUGUACUUAAGACCUAGACCUCUAGCAAAAUUAAUCACUUUUCUAUCUUCAUCUACGGGCUUGUGUAUGGCUGCAAGGCCUUCAUAUAUGCCUUUGAAUUCCUUAAUAUAUUCGUCAAUUGUUUUGAUUCCUAGCUUCUCACUUUGUAGUUGUUGUUUAAUAUGGAACUCCUUAUCUUUUGUUGCUUGAAGAUAGGCUUCUUCCAAGCAUUCCCACAUUUUCUUGGCAGUUGAGCAGCCUACGAUCAAGUACAUGAUUUCUUCUAUCAAGGUGCCUGAGAUCCAACUCCUUUACAACACAUCCUUCUCCUCCUAGUCGUCAAUAAUGUUGUUGUCUUCUGCAUCUUUCUCGCCUGCUACAGUUUUCUCAGUAGACUGUUCGGUGGAACAGGUACCUUUACGUGGUUCUGUGAUGAGGUAGGUUAAUCUCAUCACUUGAAUCAACUGAGAUAUUUGUGUCCUCCAUAUAAGAUAGUUCGUUGGCUUAGGUUUAAUGGAGCAAGACGAAAUAAGAUGAUGAAGUGAAGAGGUCGAAAGAGUGAUGGUAGAAGGGGCCAUUGCGGUUUGAUAUUGUGGUUGUUUUGAUUUUGAUCUAAUACGUUAAAGAGAGGAAAAGCUUUAUAGCUCUGAUGCCAAGUAGAAAUCUCACCAUAAGUAUGGAGAAAUCAAGGAUUGUAUUGAUAAUUAAAUGGUGGAGUUACAUACUCCUUAUAUAUGAGAAGAGUCCUAUACUAGCUAGCUACACUAGGAAUCCUAAUACAACAUAAAUAUAUUAUUUACACCUUAUCCUAGUCGACUACAUCAGCUUUAGUCGUACAUAAUAUAGACUUAUACAUAAUUUAGGAUUUAGUAGUCUAGUCCUAGUGUAACUCUAACUCUAACUCGUCAGUCAGCUUCGUCGAACCUGUUCCUUUGAUAUGUUCAAUCAUCUUCCUUCAACAUUAAACUCCUUUUUCAAGUCUUUUAUUCAAAUCACAAAUUAGAAACCUCUCCUCCCCUCCAAAAAUUCUCUCUCUAGAAACCUCCAUUGGAGGCGAAUGAUUCAAGGUUUCAAGCUCAAGACCUCACCAUUUUCACUCAAGUUUUGUGGAGUUCUUCCCUAAAAGGUAUGGUAGUCUUUAUCCUUGACUUAGUUUCUUUCAAGGAGCCAAUUUCAAAGAUGAUUUCAAGUCUCCAAAGUUCUCCUAAAACUCUAGUUUUCAAUCUAUGCAUGGGUUCAAUUCCAAAACAUUUUCAAAGUCUUUUAAAUGAUGAAUUAUGAAUGGAUUGUUGAAUUAAUGAUGAAUUAUGGUGAAUUUCCCCUAUGAACCCAUGUUUACCCCCAAUGUACUAAAUUGUGAAUUGUGAUUGGAAUUUGAUUGAUCAUGGAAGUAUGUUGAAUUAUUUAUGUCUAUAUUGAUUGAGUGUAUUGAAUUACUUCAUUAUCCAUGCCUAAAUUAUGAUAUUCUAGGUGUGUUGAUGAAUUCUGAUCAAGGGCCUUGAAAGGCAAAGUAUGAAGGAUUCAUGUAUGAUUGUGAUGUGAAGUAUAUGCAUGUGAAUUCAAUGAAAGUAUUAUGAUCUUGAUGUUUGUAUAUAUGCUUGGUGAUUACCUCGAAAGUAAUGUGAUCAUGAAUAUAAUGCAAUUGUGGUAUUGUUGAAAGGUUAUUCUCACAUAUUCACAUACUCAUGAAUGAAGAAUGAAUGAAUAAAUUAAGUUUCUAUGAUUAUGUUGAUGAUGAUGUGUAGGUUGAAAGGCUAUUCUCAAUUAUACACUAAUGAAUGAUAAUGACAUGUUGUGAAAGGUCUUUCUCACAAUAAUGGGAUUCUUAGUUGAAAGGUUAUUCUCAUUUUUGAAUCUAUGAGUUAUCCAAUGAAUGAAUGUUGGGAUGAGAUGGAUGCUCUCACAUGAGUUGAGGCGGGGUAUCUAGUAACAAUAUUUUUCCCAUAAUAAUGAACUAAUGUAAUGAAAUGCUCUAUGGGAAUGGAGGCUAAGCACCGAAUGGAUAUUGAUAUGAGAUGGAAGCUCUCACGUGAGUUGAGGCGGGGUUUCUAGAAGCAAUUUCCAUAUCCUAUAACUAUGUUCCCGCAUAGGAUACUAGCUAGUGGAUCCACCUAAGCUAAAAUUAACGGUCCUACCUUAGGCAAGUAGGAAUCCUUCUUUACGGUGUGAGGAUAGAACACCGGAUUCCAUGAUUUAGCUCUCAUGGUCUAUGUCGGUUAAACGCUUAUUCUCAUCAUGUAAGAUGUGCACUAUGGUUUCUUGAGAAGUUCUAUGAAGUGUGGGUGGUAGUAUGGGAUGUCAUCCACGCAUUGCACGAGUAGGCUUUGAGAGGGUCAUAAUGAGUUCUCUAAUGUCUUAAUGACUAAUGAAUGAAUGUGCUCUUAAUGAAGCUAAUGAAGAAUGUUGACUUUAAGGUUUAAUGAAAUGAUGCAUGUCUUACUUGAAUUGUAUUAUGAGUUACUUCUUUGUCAUGGCUUUAUGAAUAUGAAUGUGCCUGGUCUAUGGUGGCUUCAAAGGAUUAAUUCGUGUGAGUAGUAGUAUGGGAUGCUAUUCAUACAUUGCACAAGUAUGACUUAGGGUUGCCCUAGAUGAUGGUCCUAAUGUGUUGAUAUGACUUAUGAAAUGUGUAUGUUCCUUAUGUAUGUGUAUUAUCUAAAGGUCGGAAAGGAUGAAUGGUAAGUUCACUUUUGGUGGCCUUGAUGUGGUAAUUAGUAUGGAUGGUGGUAUGGACGCUAUUCAUACAUUGCACAAAGUAUAGCUUAGGGUUACUUAAGGUGAAGGCUCUAAUGUGAUGAAAUGGCUUAUAUGUUGUUUAUGUUCUAAUGUGAUGAAAUGACUUAUAUGUUGGUUAUGUUGUAUUUUAUGCCUCUUAUGCUUACAUUCAUGAUGUUUUCUCAAGAAUGGCAUAUGCAUGGUUUUCAAUCAAAAUGUCUUUUUAAGCAUGUUUUUGCAUGGCUAUCAUACUUAGCACUUAAUUUGUGCUAACCCAUAUUUCUUUUAUUUUACUACAAGUGUAGGUUUCGGCAAUUAAGUGAGUUGAGUUCCUCUAGUUGAAGCUUGGAUUGAGUUCUUCCAAGACUUUGGUAUGUCCUCAUGGAUUUCGAGGACAAGUACUUUGAUGUUUGAUGUUUCUCAUUGUAUUAGACUUUUGUUAAGGUUUUCGAUUGUAAAGGGCCGUAACCUUACUUUUGUUUCAAAGACAUUGUUUAGAUGGCCAUGCGAGACUAAUAGACUUCCGGUGUUUUAAAUGAUUUUUGAUUGUAUGGAUUUAAAGAAAAGUUAUAAUUCCGUACCAUUUUCCUUAUAUCGAAUGUUAUGACUGCUAUGAGGCUUGUAUGAGGCUUUUCGGAGUCUUGCACGUCAUGUCAUUCCGGGGUGUAGGCUCGGAUCGUGACAAAAUAGGAACAGAGGGUGUAUUAUUUUUUUAACUUAAUGCUUACCUCUCUUAUUUUUUAUAAUUAAGUUCUAACCUAAUUAUUUAUUAAUACAAGAAAAUAUAAUUUAACUAAUUUUGUCCUAUAUUUGUAGGGAUGGCAAUGGAGCGGUGCGGGUUGAGCUUAACCUGCAAAUUUUUUAAUUCGGCCCGCCCCGCAUAACAAUUUAUUUCAUUUUAAACCGCCCCACCCUGCGCCGCAUGAACCCGCACCGCAUAAUAGUUUUAAUAUAUUCUUUUUCUAGUUAAGUUUGAUACUAAAAAUAUAACUCAUAAAAAUAAAUUCAUUUUUCCAUUAAGUUGUAUUAAUUUAAUAGGAUAGUGACUGAAAAAAAUUAUUUUUUAGAGGACAAUUGAGAAACAUGUAAACAAUUGUAUUAUUUUUUAUUGAACCAUUUCCAUUUACUAUCUUGAAUAUUUUAGUAGACUAAAGAAAUUAUCUUAAUAAAUAAUGCUCUAUAACUCUUAUAAGAUGUAAAAAGUUAAAAUUAAAUUUGAAUCCACAUAAAAUCGCAUAUACCUGCAACCAGCCCCGCCUCACGUUAGUUUUUUAAAAACCCACUUUAACCCGCCCCACACAAUCUUAAACCCGCCCCGCCCCAUUGCCAUCCCUAUAUAUUUGUGUGUGUGUGAUGUGUAGAUGACCACACUUACGUGUUGUGUUUAUUGAUGUGUGUGUUUGUUUGGCAGUAUGAGUGUGAAAUCUUGUCAAUAAUCAAUCAAUUUUACUACUAUUGGCCAUUUAAAUUAUUAAUUUUUCCUUUAUCUUAGUUUACAUGACAUUGUUUUACUUUUGGAACUACUUGACAAGUUAAUUAUUGUUCUACUAAUAAUGUUCUUUUAAUAACUUUCGCAAUAUAAAUUUAUUAAUUACACAAUUAUUUUAAAAAAAUAUUAUAUUAUUUCCAUUUAUUAUCCAUGAGAUAGUAAUAAUUAAAGUCUGCAUACAUAGUGAGAUCUCACUGAUAUAUAAUUAUUAUUGGUAUUAUUGUCAUUUCGGUCUUAUCUAUUUUUUCAAUCAUCAUUUUAACAUUUUCUUCCCAAGUCCCGAUAUAUAGAUUAAAUGAAUAUUUUAAUAUUCAUCUUCAACUAAUUAAUUCUAUCAUAUAAAAUGAGAUUAAAGAAUUAACUUUUUAAUGUAACGUACAUAAAACAAAAUAGAGUGGCGGAAUUAAAAAAACACAAAAGCAUGUGCAAAUACAAUACUGAACAUUGUCGUAUACUAGGGACCUCCUAGACACCUUAGUAGAACAAAAGGUAAGUACAAAAUAAAAAUAAGACAUAUUACACGUGUCAUAUUUGGAAAAAAUAAGAUUACUGAUGUGUUGGUAUGACGAAAAAUAUUUUCUGAUUCGUAUUGUUUAGUAUCAUGAUGGUUGAUCUUGUUUUUGUUAUUCUUGACAGGAGAAACAAAAGAGUGACCAAUUUUCUCACCCAUCAUGGCGGAAACAUGUUUCUUCUCUUUAGGAAUUAUACUUCUUUUUUUGGGAGUGAAUGGAAAUACACCAUUUUUGCUUUCUUCGAUUUUCUCUGCUUUUCCCUUUCCUUUGCCUUCCUUAUCUGCCAUAUUUCUCUUGCUCUCUUAUUGUUGUUCCUGCUUUGUUUGUUAUGUGAAUUGUGUGUCUCUAACCAACAAGCUAAAGAGGCUUUUUAUAGGCCUAAUUUUGAUAGUAAUUUCUUUUGUGUCUAUGUGUUAUGUGUAUUUGUGUAUUUGUGUCUAUGUGUUUGUGUAUUUGUGUGUGUUUUAAACUAGUCAGCAUGAGUUGAAGCAAAGAUCAUGUUGUGAAUUAUAUGCAUUUUUGUGAGUUUAAACUAGUCAACCUUAACGCCAACAAAGACCAUAUUUUGUGUGUGUGACUUUUUUGUUGUUGUUGAUGAUAAUAGUGUGUUUAUAGCUAGUCAACGUGAGAUUAAGCAAACAUUAUAUAUUGUGUUUUGUGCCUUUGGGGAAAAGAAAAAGGAACUUCACAGCAAUUUAAAAUGGGUCAAAUUUACACUCUAUUAUAUUUUGGAUUCAAAAUUAUACACUCAUCGUUUCAUGUUUUGCUCGAAAAUAUCUUCUAACUAUCUAAAUGGACCAAAACAUCAUUCCUUCUAAUGGUUGUUUCGAAAUAAUACAUUCAGUUUAAUUAUAUACCAUAGCAGUUUAACAACUUUCUUUAAUUAUAUACCGUAGCAGUUCAACAACUUUCUAAACCAUCAUCAAGUACAUAAUAAGUAUAAAUUAAUUGUAUAAAAUUCGUUUUGUAUCUAUUUGUUAAUUCUUGUAUUUAAAUAAACAUUAUAAUUAGAUGUAAAAUAUUGAUACAAACUUUCCAUAUCGAAAGUUUCUACUUGCUCAACAUUCAAAAAAAAGUUUCCAUAUCCAAAGUUUCUAUAUGCAUCGUGUAAAAAUCUAACAUCUUAAUUCAAUUAGCGAGGGAUAAUUCUUUCCUUUUUUUUCUUUUUUUUUGAUAAAAAUAAAAUUUCCAUAUCUGUUUUCUGGUUAUAUUAAACGUGCAAAAAUAUAAAAAUUUCCAUAUAUAUGUUUUUGGUUUAAGAAAACGUGUAAAACAUAAAAAGUUACUAUAAAAUGUAAAAGAAAUUCCAUAAAAAAAUGUUCCAUAGUCGUUAGGGAAUAGGAAUGAUAAUAAUAAUAAUCCAAAAAGGAAACGAAAUCCUAAUCCAAAGAUAAAACGUAAAGCCUCUAGCUAUAAUAUACAUGUGAAAUAGUGAAUUGUUUCAUUGAAAUAUUAAUUAGCUUGGCAAAUUAAACAAAAAAACAUGGCAAAAUUUCCCUCAUGUCUUGUUAAAGUAGUUGUAAUAAUGAUACUAGUAUGUUUUCCUUCCACCACCGUCUCUAGAAAACAAUUACUCUCGUCACCACCAUCAGAAGCUGCUCCUCCAAAACCUCAUAAUAAUAUUGUUAACGAUGAAGACAACAACCCAAAGGAGAAGGUGAUUUAUGAUAGUCGUCGAAGCUGGAGUUCUCUUGAUCUUGGUCACAAAAUUACGAUUAUCCUAUCUAUAUUUUGUAGCUUACUUACAAUUGUCGGCCUCGUUAUCGUGAUAACAUGGCUUAUCUAUUCCGAACUAUGGGGAUAUUGAUCCAUCUAACUACUCUAUACCUUUUAUUUUCUGUAAUUUAAUAAAUAAACAGUGUUUUUCUAUUUUCGAUCCAAUUAAUUGUUAGUGAACGUUGUACUUGUAUGUAUCGAUUGCUGGGUUUGUUUUGCUGUGUAUGGCUGGUGGAUGUUUUGUUGGAAUUGUUGACAGCGUUUUGGAAUAUUGGUGGGCUUGGGUCGAUGCUGCUGAUUGUUGUUGUUGUGGGCUGUUAUAAUUGGGUUAAUAUUGGUUUGAAGUUGGGAUGAAAUUGUGUUUAAGGGGGUUACUUAAACAAAUUAAGUGGAACUUUCGUAUAUAUCCACUCAAAAAUAGUUUAAUUAUGCUAUAUAACUAGAGUUUGCUAAUUCCGAUUCGUAACUACAUGUUAUAGGGAGGAGAGUGGCGAGCGAGAUUGGGAGAUGGAGGAGAGAGGCGAGCGAGAGAGGGCAAAAAGUGGGAGAGAGGUGAAUUGUAUAUGUAUAUCGGUUUGAUAAUUGUAUAUAUGUAACUGGUAUAUGUAUGUAUUUGUAUAUUUGGAGAGCGAGAUUGGGAGAGGGAGGAGAGAGGCGAGCCAGAGAGGGCAAUAAUUUGUAUAAUUCGCAUCUCGGUUGUAUAAUUCACGUGUUUUUGAAUGUAUAUGGUGAUAAAACUGAAAAACCAAACGAAAUCAUCGUCAUAUGCAAGUACAAACCAUCUUAUACAAAUAAAAAUCAAACGAAGAACUGUUACUUGCGGAUUAUACAAAUGUGGCGAAUUAUACUAACACGAAGUCAGCCCACAUAAUUAAUAGUUAAUGUUAGUUGCAAGUGGUAAUUAUAGCAAACUAUAGCUACAAUGACUAAUUAAAUAGUAUAAAUUCGCUUAACCGCGUAAUUUUCCCUUAAAUUAACAAGAAUUGUAAUAAAAGGGGUUAGAUUUCAAAUUAUGACAUGACCAUAUGAAAUUUCAAUUAUGACCAAUUGUAAUUAAGAACGUAGCUUUAGUAAAUUUGGUUGGAAUUUAAAUAAGAUGAACUGAUGUUGAUUAUCUUAAUUAUAAUAACAAACUUCUUAAAUUGACUAAAUAAAAUAAUUAUCUUAGUUAUAAAUUAAUUGACUCAAAAAUAUGAUCUAUGGACUAAACUAACAUAAUUAACAAAAUAUUUGAAGGGGCGCGUUGGGUAACUUUUGGAGCGCGUGUAGGAAAGAGAGGAGAAAGGAACGGGUGUGCGUGACUUUUCACAAUAGGAAAAAGUAAAAAAGGAAUUUCACCACACUAUUAUAUAUUUUUCUAUUUUAUAGAAAUGUGAAGACGACCAACGACCAAUGGAAAAAGGGAUAUUAAAUCAAAUAUACAAGGGCAAAUUAUAACUAUUAUACUAAAAUUUGUUGAUAUCCGUGCAGUCAUGUUCAAACCAAGGCCUCUAUUUUUUUUAUACUCUAGAAGUAUCUACAUCUUUCUCCACUCUUCCACUGAAAAUAAAUAAAUAUCUCAUUUGCAUCAGUUUUCUUAGAUUUUCAAGACUAAAGGGUUGAGACGUUGAGUAUUUCCAGGUAUGUUUUAUUCACAUUUUUGCUUAAAUCUCUUUGGUUAACUUUUUCAAUUUUCAAUUUUGAGUGACUCUUUUUUGUUGCUCUUAAUCAGUCCUUUUCAAAUAUAGAAAUUCAAAGAUGGCUUCUGUUCACUUUCUUAAUUGGAUAUUACAACCCUAGGUCGUUUUCUUUUUUCUUGGUCUUAAUCAAUCCUUUUCAAAUAUUCAAAGAUGGCUUCUGUUCACUUUCUUAAUUGGUUAUUAUAACCCUAGGUCGUUCCAAAAAUAUGAAUUGAUAAAAAAAAUCAGAACUGUGUGUUUUCUUCUAUCUUCUAUUUUCUUAAAAUUAUCUCUCUCUUAGAUUAUGGAUAAUUGAAAUUUAUAUGUUCUCUUGUGCUCUUGUUUAAUGGUAUAACAGAGUCUUCAUCAUUAGUAUUGAGACACUCAUAUAGCUAAAGCAUCACAGCAAAGGCAGUCGCUUUGUUGUGAAAUAUUCUUGCCAAAGAAGAAUACCUAACAACCGACAUAAAAUGAUAUAGUAAAAAAUAUGGCUUUAAGUUAUAGUAGAAAUUAAAUUUCCAAGAAAACAAAUGUGAGUUCCAAUAAAUCCUAUUUGCUUACCAAUAUACUAAUAGUAAUUCUUAAGCUUUGAGUAAAUAGGAAUAUAACGUGAAUAUCCCCAAAGUGCAAGUGUUUCAUCAUUGAUAUUUUUUCUCUUACACUUAGAUUAUUUGUAUGCUUAAUUAAUUGGUAGUGUUUGUAUUGGAUGGCUGGUGGAGCACUAUUUGUUAAGGUGUCCAUGCAUUAUACUUAGUCACUUUGCCUGUACAUGUGUAUUUUUUUGCUUAUUGAACAACAUCGAAGUGCUGACCGAUACGGUCUAUUUUUCUGUUGGUAGUUACAAUUGUUUGACCUUUUCUCACUCUUGCUACAUUUAUUAGAAUAGAAAUAAAGCUUUUAGACCUCUUCUUUAUUAUGUGUUUUCUGUCUUUUUCUCCAGAAAUUUGUGUCUUAUGGUGCUUUUAUCGUUAAGCUUUUUCUAUAUGGUCAAAUCAAAUGUUUAUUAGACACUAAAAUAUCAAUGUUUAUCAAGAAGUUGUACAUGUACUUUUUGCUCUUCAAGAGCUGGGAGGCUUAGAUUCAUACUUCUCUAAUUAUUAAUUAAUUAGUAAAGGGAUCAUACUAUGUUGAAACCAAAUCUUGCCAUAUAGUAACCGUAUUUGGGUUCUAAGCAUUCUCGAGUUUUUCAUUUGUCAUCUUACUCUUUCCGUCCGUUUGCACCAUCUGAUGAAGUUGAUUUUCAUUUACUUUGGGAUGAACUGUUAAAUGGAAAAAAACUAUAUAUUCUUUGUUACUAUUUUCAUUCCAUAUUCUCUUCUGCAAUACUUUUUAAAUUAACCUCUUAUUUUUAGCAUUUUCUACUUUUUCCUCUGUUAGAUAUGUCUAUUAUAUUAGAUUUAAUAUAUGGUUUGAACUGUUAAUUUUACAGAAUUUUUUCACUUCGUUGAGGUAUUUGUUCGCCACUGUUUUCACUUUUCUCUCAGUAUGUGGUAAGUAUUACUCAACCAAUCCCUUAUUUAAAAUUAUUACUAUUAUUUAUCGGAUAGUUAUUUUGUGUAAAAUUAUUUUGAUCCCAAAGAUGUCAAGUAAUAGAAACCAUAAAAAUGUGCAUGCUUUUCAAAAAUCAAAUGCAAAUAGAAAUGCUAGGAGACCCGAAUUAUACAGAUUGAUGCAACUUGAGGAAAAAGAAAUUCUUCUAGCACGUGAGCAAAGAGAGUUGAAAUGAGAAAACAUAACUUAUCUGAAAGUUCAAUGAAUAAUGAUUUGACUACUGCAUCAUCUUCUAAUUCCACAAUUGUUUCUAAUAGAAACCAUAAAAAUGUGCAUGCUUCUCAAAAAUCAAAUGCGAAUAGAAAUGCUAGGAGACGGGAAUUAUACAGAUUGAUGCCACCUGAGGAAAAAGAGAUUCUUCUAGCACGUCGUCGAGCAAAGAGAGCUGAAAUGAGAAAACAUAACUUAUCUGAAAGUUCAAUGAAUAAUGAUUUGCCUAAUGCAUCAUCUUCUAAUUCCACCAUUGUUUCUGUUGCACAAAGUUCUAAUCUUAUUAUGAGAGAACCAAUGUUGCUCCUAUCAGAGCCAUCAGAAAUUAAUUAUAUCAAAUUAAAAGAAGUAUCAAAUUGUCAAUUUUGUAAAGCCAUUAAAUUUGAAUAUGAACCGCCUGCAUUUUGUUGUAGCAAUGAUUUUGUUCAAUUAACUUCACAUGAGAUUCCAAUAGAAUUAAAGAACCUUUAUCUAGAAAAUACAGUGCUAUCAAAACAUUUUAGAACAUACAUUAGAACGUACAAUAAUAUAUUUGAUUUCACAUCUCUUGGAGUAACUUAUGACAAAGAAUUAGCAAAAGAAAUAAUGGUAUUUAUACUUUUCGGGUUCAAGGUCAGAUGUAUCAUUUCAUCAAUGACUUGAUUCCUACCGAUAAAAAAGGAAAAAAUCUUCAGUUACAUUUCUUUGAUAGUGAAAAUGAAUUAAGAAAUCGAAUGGCAUAUUCAAAUAAAUUAAAUGAGUAUGUUGUGAGAACUCUGAUGGAUAUAUUAAAAAUUAAUCCAUACUCUAUUUUUUAAAAUCUUUAGUUGAUGUUCCACAACUAUCUGAUUUUUAUAUUGCACUUAAGUGUGAUUCUGGCUUAGAUCAACGUAUAUAUAACUUACCAAUAGUAACAGAAGUUGCAGGAAUAUGGGUAGAACAAGAUAUUACUAAUUCUAUUCCUACACCACAUAUUCGAAUAUAUACAAAAAGUGAUAAAAGUCAAUUGGUAAAUUAUUAUUACGGUUGUUAUGAUCCAUUGCAAUAUUCAUUGCUAUUUCCAUAUGGUCAAGGUGGAUGGCACUGUGGUAUUAAGAAAAUUAAGUGUUCUUCAAUAACAUCAACACAAAUAUAUUGCGAACAAGAACAACACAAAUAUGGUUGUUCCUUACAAUCCCUAUUUACUUUGUAAAUUCAAUUGUCAUAUAAAUGUAGAGAUUUGUUCAGAUAUAAAAGUUAGUUAAGUACAUUUAUAAAUACAUUUGCAAAGGACAUGAUAAAAUAGCAUUUCAUAUACAGACUAAUGAUGUAAACGUAAAGAUAGAUGAAAUAAAAGAAUAUCAAUCUGCUAGGUGGGUAUCAGCACCUGAAGCUGCAUGGAGAAUAUUCGCUUUUCCUAUUAGCGAAAUGAGUCCAAGUGUAUAUCAUCUACAACUACAUCUUGAUGGACAACAACUUAUUUCCUUCAAAAGUACCGAUAACAUUAGUAAAAUUGCAAGUAAUCACAUUAUAAGAAAAACAAUGUUAACUGAAUUUUUUUUAAUGAAUAAAACAAACAAAGAAGCUAUGGACCUAAAUUUAUUAUAUCGUAUGUCACGCCCCGAGCCUACACCCUGGACGUGGCUGGCACUCGAAGACCAUUGCUGGCCCCCAAGCGAACCCUUGGCCUGGCUUUCUUAACUCAGCGGAAACUUAACUCAACAGAAUAACUCCAUGCAAUGAAAGGUCAAAAAACAACCCAAUUGAUAAAAUUUGGCCAAAAAGGCAACUCGAGUCUCAAAUUGGAAUAUUAUAUAUAUACAUAGAUGAUAGACUCAAUACUAACUGACUGACUGACUGUCUAUGAAGCCUCUAUAACACUGAGAUGGAUGUUGGGACAGACCCCGCAACAUCCUAAUAAAGCAAAACAUAAGAAAACAAAAUAAACGAGUCCUCCGGAAUGCAAAGAGGCUCACCACUGACUCUGGAGUGCUCAGCUGGAUCAACGGCGUGCUGGAUGCUGACCCUGGGUACCUGCAUCUGUAUCAUAAGACGAUGCAGGCCAACUGGCAUCAGUACAUUGAAUGUACGAGUAUGCGAGUUGGAAUGCUAAACAACAACUUAAGCUUGAAAGGAGUACAAGAGAACACUUACAUUGGCUCUGUUCGACUCAUGAAUACUGAACUCAAUAUAAAGCAAUAAGACACAUACAAUACAUAAAGUUUGUAAAACAUUGUAAACAACUUAGUUCGUUAAGGAUAGACUCAUGAAUACUGAACUCAAUAUAAAGCAAUAAGACACAUACAAUACAUAAAGUUUGUAAAACAUUGUAAACAACUUAGUUCGUUAAGGAUAAAACAAUAACAAACUCAACUUUACUUAUAUAAAAGUAAUAUAAGUUUUGUGGGAGGUUCUUUAACCGACAACCACCACUAUGAGCCCUAGUGAUGAUACAACGUUUUACCUCACGUUGCCCAAGGGCCAUCCUAUACCUUGCCGUGAUAUACUUUACUUAGUGGAUCCACUAGCUUAACUUACGUGAUCAUCUAAAAAAGUAUGACCCGUUAACUCCCAUGUUCGGCUACAUGGUUCUUAUGGAGAGUUGAGUUAAUAUGAACUCGUGUCCCCAAUUCGGUGCUCAAUACUACUCCCAAAAAUAUACUUUGGCUCAUAUGUUUUAAAAACAAACUUCUUUCUUUGGUUUGAGAUAAUUACUCAAAGCUUAGCCCAAAGGCUCUUUUGGAAUCAAUGUUCCCUUUUCUUUGCUCAAUUGUGAAAACAUGCAUAAACUUGUUUGGGAAUACUUAGUUCCCUAAUAACUUUUGAGAAAUGAACUUGACUCUAUACUCUUGACUUAACUUGAAACUCUAUACUCUUUACUUAACUUGAAACUAUAUACUCUUUACUUAAAUUGAAACUUGAGCCUUAAACAAAGUUAAAACGUUUAACAAAGACUCUUGAAUAACUUUAAAGACUUGCUUUGACUUGCUUCUUAACUUCUAAACUUGACUCUUAACUUCACUUGACUUUGAUCCUAACUUUCCUCGAAUUGGAUUAUGAAUUCAAGGGUAAUGAUCUCAUGUUUAUGGAUGAGUUCGGGAUGUUUAGAUGUACCUUAGAGUAUUGGAAACAACUAUAAAACAUAGGUACAUUACCAAGGAACUUGUAUGAAAAAGUGGGGAAUGAAAGGGAAGGAUUGGCGUCCUUGGCGCUAUGAGAGGCGCGGGGCGCCAGCCCUCAAACUUCAGAAGGGCCUGCUGGGCGUUCUGCCAGGCGCGCCGCCCCAAGGGGAAAGUUCAGCGUCCCUUUUUGGGGUGCGCUGGCUGGCGCGACACCCCAGCCCUUUCCCCCCAAAAAUCUGACUUUUUCCCCUUGUUUUUCCAACUCUAAACCCCUUAACUUCAAAGGUUCCAGCCCCAAACACUUAGAAUCAUAAAACCCCUCAACAUACAAUAGAUUNNNNNNNNNNNNNNNNNNNNNNNNNNNNNNNNNNNNNNNNNNNNNNNNNNNNNNNNNNNNNNNNNNNNNNNNNNNNNNNNNNNNNNNNNNNNNNNNNNNNNNNNNNNNNNNNNNNNNNNNNNNNNNNNNNNNNNNNNNNNNNNNNNNNNNNNCUUCUCUUCUUCACUCAAAACCCUCACUCUCACUCUUUUAAAAUGGGACAAACUGUUCUAAAAAUCAGUCCAACACUUUAAUAUAACCAAAAGAAUUGAUUAGGGAAAAGACCAAAAUGCCCUUAAAAUUCGGACUAAACUGCCCUGUGCGGCUGUGCCAACAGCCCAACUUCCAAAGGGCAUAACUCACUCAUACGAACUCGGAAUCGAGUAAACUUGGCGGCGUUGGAAAGAUCAUUCCAAAAUAUUUCCAGACAUAACUAGAAAUUUUCUAAACUCAUCCUGAGCUAUGAGUUAUGACUGUUUUAAGUUGACAAAAAAACUCAUUUUUUUCCCAUACUUAACUAAAUUUCCAGAUUCUGACUUCUUAAAAAAAAAGACUAAUUCCAAUUAUAAACUUCUUCAUAGUUAUUUCAAAUUGCAAGACAUCACAUCAUGAAUUUCCAGAACAUUUUGUAUGGUCAACAACACAUAAAAUGUGGACACGUCGUAAACGAGGUCAUGUUAUUGGACGUGUAGUGACAUGUUAUCCAACCGAAGGAGAAAGAUACUAUCUUAGACUUCUUUUAUGAACGUAAGAGGGCCAAAAUCAUAUGAAGAUCUGCGAACUGUAAAUGGAAUACAAUAUAAUUCAUUUAGAGAAGCUGCAGAAAAAUGAGAACUAUUACUUUGUGAUAAUAAUUUGGUAGAAUGCAUGUCUGAAGCUGCAAGUUAUCAAAUGCCAUCCAGUUUAAGACAAUUAUUUGCUAUGUUAUUGAUUUAUUGUAAUCCAACAAAUCCUAGAGAAUUAUGGGAAAGAUUUGAAAGCCCAAUGUCAGAAGAUUUAAAAAAAAGUUCAAACAUAAAUGUAAGAGAAAUACGUUAUAAAGUAUUAAAUUGCAUUAAUGAUGUUCUUCAUUCAAUGGGUCGUGACAUUAAUGAAUUUGAACUAAUUUCAGAAUAUAUCAAACCUUCAUCAAUAGCAAGAGAAGCUAAAGAAGUUCAUUAUGAAAGAAAUAUCAUUGUUACUGAGGAAGAUUUAUUAUUAAAAAAUAAAUUAAACANNNNNNNNNNNNNNNNNNNNNNNUUACAAAAUAAAUUAAACACUGAACAGAGAAAGGCUUACGAUAUUAUUCUUGAUAGAGUAUUGUCAAAUAAAUUUGGGGCAUUCUUUAUUGAUGGUCCUGGUGGAACUGGUAAAAGUUUUUUAUAUCGUGCUUUAUUAGCUACAGUAAGACACAAGGGAUUUAUAGCUUUAGCAACUGCAAGUUCUGGUGUUGCAACUUCACUUCUUCCCGGAGGUCGAACUGCUCAUUCUCGAUUUAAAAUUCCUAUUGAUGUCAAUGAAAAUUUUACUUGCAAUAUUAGUAAACAAAGUUCACUAGCAUCUUUAAUACGAGAUGCACGAUUAAUUGUGUGGGAUGAAAUUUCAAUGGCAAAAAAGAAAAUGGUUGAAGCAUUUGACUUGCUUUUAAGAGAUCUAAUGGAAACAAAUACGUUAUUUGGUGGUAAAAUAGUUGUUUUUAGUGGUGAUUUCAGACAAACUCUUCCUAUUGUUCGUAGUGAAAAAAAAGAAGAUUUUAUUCGUGAAAGUUUAUUGUUCUCUGAAAUUUGGAAUCAACUUGAAAAAUUACAGUUAUCGAAGAAUAUGCGUGCAACUAAAGAUCCUGAAUUUUGUGAAUAUUUAAUGAGAAUUGGUGAUGGAAAAUAAAAAACAAAUGAUCAUGGAAAAAUUGAAAUUCCUCAUUCUCUCAUUAUUCCUUUUACUUCUGAAAAAGAAUCUCUAAAUCUUCUCUUUAGAAAUACUUAUCCUGAUUUAUACACAUGUUGUACAAAAACUUCGUAUGUUACUUGUCGUGCUAUUCUAACAACUAAAAAUGAUUUUGUUGAUGAAAUAAAUGACAUGUUGAUCUCUCAAUUUUCAAACACUGAAAAAGUAUAUAUUGCUAUAGAUGAAACUAUUGAUCCAAAAGAUCAAAGUGAAUAUGAAGAUUUCUUACACACUUUAAAUCCUAUUGGUUUACCUCCAUACAAAUUAACUUUGAAGAAAAAUUGUCCGAUUAUGUUAUUAAGAAAUUUAAAUCCUUGUGAAGGUUUAUGCAAUGGGACACGCUUAAUAUGUAAUGAUUUUAAACCUCAUGUUA